rnacentral:lncRNA from 1 species
GAAAAGAGGGUGCGAAGCCCCCGCUAUUUCCAUAAGUCGUUCAAGGCUAUCGUGAAUGCGAAAGGCCCUUGGCCCGACUCGCAUUGGUGAAUUCUCGACUUUGCUAGCAGUACCAAAAGACCCUUGGGGCCCAACAGCACAAAAGCCAGUGAAAGUCCUUUUACAUGGAAUUAGGUCAUAUAAGACCCAACAACAUGUAAGCGAGUUUCCUUCGGGCCUAAAGAUCAUGUCAUUGGGCUAGCUAGGCCCAACAAGCACGAUUUGAAACUUUCGGGCCCAAAGAUGGUGUAUCGACGUCUGGUGAAUUCCCGCGUGUGUAUUGACUUCCCGUAAUUUCAGCGUGUGUAUUGUAGUAUCGUCGUGUAUAGAUUUUUGAUUCAUUAUUGAUUCGAGACCGAAUCAAUUCGUUUGGUAACGAUUUUUGGUGUUGAAGGUGUAUUAUGUUUCAUCGGUAGUCGUGGUACUAGUAUUUCAUCAUAACGGAUUUGUUGUUUAAAACAUUAGAAUUUUUACUCUUUGCAGCCCCUUUCUUUUGGAUAAAUUUACACUUUUGACCCUUUGUAUAAAAGAAUUUCCAUUUUAGUCCUUAAACCAUUUUUCUUUACACUUUAGUAUCAAAACUUGUUGAAAAGGUAUUUUUCAGCUCAAAUUUAUUUGAAAAACAGCUUUAGUCCCUCAGAAUGAAGUUUUCUCGGCUGAAACCUCUAUUUUCGCAAUUUUUACACUUUUGGCCCAAAAUAGAAUUUUUUUGCAUCUUUGGUCCCUUUUAAAUAUGAAAAGUAUUUUUAACCCUUGAAAUGGACUUGGAGCACUAGUAGUCCCCUGUUUUACAGAAAAGUACCGUUUCAGUCCCUCUAAUUUGAAAAUCUCGCAAUUUGGGCUUUAUUGGGCCGAAAAAUUCAUUUUUGGCCCAUUAUGCUUAAAAAUUCACAUUUUAAUCCUUCAAAAGAGUAAAUUUCCAGAAAAUACAUUUUUGAAACUGUUUUGACUCAUUUCAACCAUCAGAAUUUGCAUUUUGUCAUUUUGGGCCCUUUGAAUUUAUAUUUUCAACAUUUUGAGCCCAAAAAUGGGUUUUAAGCCCAAAGAUGUUCAUAUUAACCAACUUGGUUAUUUUUCUAGGAAUGAUUUGUAUGAAAUAAUAUAAUUUGUAAUUGUUUCAUACAACUUAACGUAGAUCUCGGUUUUAAGGUCUUUUUGACUAGAUCCAACACCACAACCACAUAAGAAUAUAUAUACAAGCAUAAAAAUCACACAAAGCAUACAUAUACUCAUAGAUCUACACAUUUGCUUGUAUUCCCCCCCCCCCCACAAAACUUAGAAAAACCGAAAAAUAGGGGGUAUGAAGCUCACCUUGAGGUUUGGUUCGAUUUUGAUGAAGAUAUAUGAGAAGAUGAUGUUGUUUUUGGCUUAGCUUUCUUCCUUCAAAAUAUCUUGAUGAUGUGGAUGGUUCUAAGAACAUAAUCCACAAAUAUAUGGAUGUAAGAGGAGAUCUUUGAAGAGAUCAAGAAAUUAUAUCAUAGAUCUAAGUGGGAACUUACCAAAGUUGAUGAUCUUGAAUAAGAAUUUCUUGAAGUAUCCUCUAAUUCUCGAAAAUUUAGAGGAAAGUGUAGGAGUGUUCUUGUGAGAUUUCCUUAAGAGAUUUCUAAGUAAAAUAAGUGUGUUGGUGAUUUUUGGGCCCUAUGGCCGAGAUUAAGAAGAGAUAGGNAUUUUUGGGCCCUAUGGCCGAGAUUAAGAAGGAGAGAGGGGAAAAGAGAAGAGAGGUUUGAAGUGAUAGAAGUCUUGAUGCAUGAGAUUAGUUUUUGCAUGGAGGGUAUUUAGCAUGGGAACCCUACAUGUAAAAAUGAUGUGUCGCCAUGCAAUUUACCCUAUUUUUUUUAACCUUGGGCCGAAAAUGGCUCUAAUGGGAUGAAGAAAAAUGGUUUUGGGCUCAAUGUCUUGGCUUUGAUCGAACUUCAUAGCCCCAAUAUUAUUUUUCGGCCCAUUGUGCUUAAGGACGAUUCACGACCCCUUUUGAAUAAAAGAAAUGGAGUUUAUGGCCCAACAAGGCCUAUUAGAGAUAAAAAUGAAUUAUUUUAGGCCCACAUGGCCCAAAACAAUCUAGUUUCAUGACUGUGGGUCCAAGUAGAGCCCAAACAGUCGAUUUGAAAGUUUAUUGGUCCAUUAGGCCCAAUAAGAGAAUCCUAAUCCAUAAUGAAUUUGAGCCGAAAUUUCUAGGGUUUCCAACCCUUAGUUGAACAUAUGAGAUGUAUGUGAAUGAGAAUAGAUUAUAGUAAGUAUAGCCUUUUUCAAUGGAUGAUGUUUACAUGGGAAUCGAAUUUCCUAGCAAAUGCUAGUUGUGACACCUCAAAUGGUUCACACAACACCAAAUACACUUGGAAUAGAUUAGAGAGAAAUCCACACUUCAUGAAAAUUGGCUAGCCCUUUCACAUAUAUUCUAGUGCCGAUUUUGUCAACAAUAAGAUGCUUAUAUAGUUAGUGACAAUUAGGGUAAACCCUAAUUGUCAUGGCUUUCCAUUUCCUUGGAUCUAUGGAUUCAAAUACACCAUGGAGAAUCCAUGGAGCAUCUUAUGGGUUUUAGCCCAACUUGACAAUCCAUAAAGCAUUAGCCCAUUAUACAAGUAUGGAUAAUUUAUACAAUCAACCGAAAUAUUUAAUUAGUCUUCUUUUGAUCACUUAAUUAAUCCUAGAUUAAUUCUUGAUCAAUACUAAUUAAAUAAUCUUAUUAAUAUAUUAAAACUUCUAAUAUAUUAACAAACCUUAAGUGUUAUUUCUCUCAUUUUAGUCUAUCCAAAUGCAUGAUGUCAUGCAACCCAAAUGGACCAUGCUGGGUCGGGUCAAGUCUUACCAAUUAUAGUUAUUGACUUAGACAUUAAUCCAACAAUCCAGUCUGGGGGCAGUUUUGAUGCAACGUGGUUGUGUGAUUGCUUACGCUUUGAGGCAGCUGAAGCCUCAUGAUGCGAAUUAUUCGACACAUGAUUUGGAGCUGGGAGUCGUGGUAUCACACUCAAGAUUUAGCGGCAUUACCUCUAUGGGGUUCAUUGUACCAUCUACACGGACCACAAUAGCUUGAGGUAUCUAAUGGAUCAGCCGAAUCUGAACAUGAGGCAACAUCGUUGGUUAGAUGCGGUGAAAGAUUAUGAUUGUGAGAUCCUUUAUCACCCAGGGAAGUCCAAUGUGGUGGUCGAUGCUCUUAGUCACAAGGCAAUCGCGGCUCCAAUAAGAGAUAUAUGUUUGAGGAUGACCGUGAUUACUCAAUUAUUGGAGCGGAUUCAUGAGGCUCAUGCAGGGUAUAUGAAGGAAGAGCAUCGAAAGAGUGAACGCAUUGUAGGUUAGGUGGCUUCCUUCGAUUAUGGUAGCCAUGGAUUGCUGACUCUGCAUCGGCGAGUAUGGGUACCUUAUUGGGGUGGUUUGUGUCAGGUUCUUAUGAAGGAGGCAGGCACACGAGUCGAGGUUCUCCAUUCAUCCCGGGGCGACAAAGAUGUAUAGGGAUCUUCGUCCUAACUAUUGGUGGCCCUGCAUGAAGCGGUAUGUGGAAUGGUAUGUUGAGCGAUGCCUGACUUGCAGGAAAGUCAAUGUUGAGCAUCAGCGUCCUCACGGCAAGAUGCAGCCGUUGGAGCAUAUGGAAAUGGAAGACAUAACUGUGGACUUUAUUAUGAAGCUUCCCAGGACUGCGCGCAUAGUGGAUUCUAUCUGGGUCAUCGUGGAUCAUUUGACUAAGAUGACAUAUUUCAUUAUGAUCCAGGAGAGUAUUUAUAUAGAGAAGUUGGCCGAGAUUUAUGUCCGGGAGGUAGUGGCACGUCAUAGGGUGCCGAUAUCAAUGGUUUCAGACAUGGAUGUUCAUUUUACUUCCAGAUUUUGGAAGCGGUUUCAUGACAAGAUAGACACUCGUCUCCUUUUUAGUAUAACAUUUCAUUCAUAGACCAAUGGUCAAAGUGAGCGGACUAUUUAGACUCUUGAGGAUAUGUUGCAUGCGUGCGUGUUGGAUUUUGGUGGGAGUUAGGAUACGCAUCUUCCAUUAGCGGAGUUUUCGUAUAACAACAGUUAUCACGCCAGCAUCGAUCGACCUUCUUUUGAGAUGCUCUACGGGAGGAAAUGCAGUACCCCGAUUUGUUGGGGCGAGGUCGGUCAGCGAGUUAUGGGGAGUACCGAGGUGGUGCUCAAGACCACUAAGUUGAUUAAGCAGGUUCGAAGCAGGCUCCAGACAGCUGGGAGUCGGCAGAAGAGUUAUGUCGACAGGCAUCGAUCAGACUUAGAGUUAUAGAUGGGAUAUAUGGUUCUCCUGAAGGUGUCACCUUGGAGAGGUGUUAUCCCGUUCAGGAAGCGGGGCAAGCUGGGCCCCAAGUAUAUUGGUCCCUUAAGAGUUUUAGCUCGAGUGGGCCGAGUUGCGUAUUGUUUAGAUCUUUCAGCCGAGCUCAGUUUGAUUCAUAACACAUUUCAUGUCACUCAGUUGCAUAAGUGUUUAGUGGAUGACUUUGCAGUUGUACCUUUGGAGAAUAUUCAGGUGGAUGACCGUCUGAAUUAUAUUGAGAGACCGGUGGCAAUUUUAGAUCGAAAGAUGAAAACCUUGAGGAACAAGAUUAUGGAGUUUGUAAAGGUGCAGUAGUUGUACCACAAAGGGUCAGAGUGGACUUGGGAACCCGAGGAGGAGAUGAGGGAACAUUAUCCAGAGUUGUUCGAGACGGCGGACUUCAAGGAUGAAGUCUGAUUCAAGUGGGGGAGAAUUGUAAUGCUUGAUAAUUUCCAAGGUAUUUAUUUAAUUUGGAUUUAUUUAAUUGUUAUGAGUUGGGCCUUGAAUCAUUGGAUUUUUCUUAUUGGGCUUAGGGUGUUAAGUACGCAGGGUGUACCACCCUAUGUAUGCAAGGCGUACUGAUGUAGAAUGAUCGCGGGUGCCAUGCAUGUACACGCUGCGUACAAAGGAGUACGCACAACGUAUGUAUCUAGUCCCUAAAACCAUACUAUUUAGGGUUUUAGCACUAUUUAAAGAACAUUAUAACUUAAGGAUCUUCUUUAUCAGCCUCCAACUUGCCCCUAAAUAGCCUCCACAAAACCCUAGCCCAAUUGUUGAGUGAUAUUGAGCUUGGAAGGUCUUUUGAGUGCGUUUUGGUGUGUUUUGUCCCAUUUUCAAGGAAGAUAAGGUUGGAGCAAGGUGGUGGUUCAAGGAGAAUUUUAUAGAUCUGGAUUAUCUGCCGCAUUUCAAGCUUGUGCAAGGUAUAAAUCUUGAUCUUGAUCUUUAGAAGCUUAGAUCUCCAUGUUUUAGCUUUUGGACCCUUUUUGGUCCCAUAAAUAAGCUCUUGUGGAUUGUUUUCGUUUCUGAAGCUUAGAGUUGCUAGUCUUGGUGUUCUUUGGGUCCUAGAGGCAUAAAGUUGCCACCUUUGAAGCUUUAAUCCAACCAUGUUUGAGUAAUUGCCAUUUUUGUGGAAGUAGAAUGUUAUAUUUCAAGUUUGGGCUCAUUUGGGGCAUGCAAAGCCACCAAUUUGAUGACUUUAUGGGUUAAGACGUUGCAAAUGACUCAGAUUUGUGAUUGUAACUCUUGGACUUAAGUGGUUAAGAGAUUUUUGGAGAAAUGGCUUAUUGGGUGAGUAUGUUGGGCGUAUAAUUGGGGUGGAAAAUCGGACCAUCGUGUCGUGUUUUUGUCCGACACGACAUGACACGACAAAAUUUUAUGUAACACAAACACGACACGACACGAUCUCGUAUUUUUUUUAACUAACACGAAAACGAACCGGUUAAAAAACGACAAACAUGACACGACACGACAAAGAUAACAUGAAAUAACAAUUAAUGUAUUUAAUUAAUGUGUAUUUAUACAUAACACGACAAACACAAAAAACACGACAAAAAAUGUUAAAUCGUGUCAAUUUCAUGUCAAAUUUUGAACACGAACACAACACGACACGACUUCGUGUUUUUUACACUUGACACGAACACGAAUUCGAAUUUCAAUUUCGUCUCAAUUUCGUUUCGUGUCGUGUAUUUUUGUCGUGUCGUGUCAUCAAUCGUCACCCCUAGCGUACAGGCUCGUACAUGCAGCAUACAAGCCAUGCAGCGUGUAUGCUUGGUGUACAGCCGAGUACGCCUCGCGUACUCAGGCAGUUGGGCUUGGCGUUGUUUGGGCAUCGAGUUUGGCCAUUUUCUUGGACCUUGUUGCUUUGGGCCUUUUGGGCCAUCUGGAAUUAAUAUUUUGGAUUAAGGAAUUUUAGUGGGCCUUAGGCCAAGGGCCAUUUGGGGGUUUGAGCCCAAUUUGGAAAAUUGGGCCAUAAGUGGGCCUUUGUGGAUCUUUUGGUUUUGGGCCUUAUUGGUUUAUGGUUUUAGGCCUUAGUUUUGGAUCAAGCUAGGCCAGGGGUAAUAUGGUCAUUUUACCCCAAGUAUGGAUUAUUGAUUAUAGUUUGGAACCUAAGUGUUGAUUAGGUGGUAUUUUGUACUAAUAGCUCGGGGAGUCGUCAUGGUAGCAACUGGGGAUUUAUUUCUGUGAGAUUCAACAUUUGAGGUGAGUUUCCUCAAUGGGUUUAGCGGGUCUAAGGCACCAAUGCUGACCCUUAUUAAUUAUGUUAGGAUGCUAAGAGUUUGUGUGACCCUUGCAUGCGUUAUGUGUUGUUGUAUGUAUACCGGGCGAGGCUCGAUGCUAAGCAUGACAUGAGGAUUGGAACAUAUGCUAGUGUUAUGAUCAUUAUAUGUGUUAGCAUGAUUAUGUAAUAUUGAUUGUAUGUGUAUAAAGGGCGAGACCCAGUGACAUGCGAGGCAUGAGAAUAACAUAUUUGUAUACCGAGCGGGGCCCGAUGCCGGGCGGGGGCCCAAUGCAUGAUUUAUUAUGUAUGGUAUGGGGUAGUUUGGGGAACUCACUAAGCUUUGUGCUUACAGUUUUCAAAUUAUGUUUAGGGUACUUCCAGUGGCAAUGAGAAGAACUCGGGGUGACUGCAUUGCACAUACCAUAUGGAUUCUGUUUAUUGGGCACGCUCUAAUUUUUCCUGAUAUCUGACAUACUUAUUUUAUUUGGGUUGUAUGAACUAUGAUUGGAAAUACUGUUUUCACUUGAAUGAAAAAUGAAAAUUUUAGGUCGUAUUUUUGGGUUGUUACAUUGUUUGUUUUUUUGUCGGUCUUGAAUAUCAACGACUCUAUGUAAGUAAUCUGUUGUCCCUGGUUGAAGUUGAAUGUGUCCAGGUUCCGUAGGCGAAUAGUCUACAAUGUUUCGUCAUUUAUUUUCAAUCACCAUGUUAUGCAGAAUGAUACAUGCAUACAUAAUAUCUCGUAGAGUGUCCAACUCGUAUGGUCGUUCCGCAUGUUCAACUAUGUGACAUUUUGCUUUCAGAACUCUGAAAGUACGUUCCACGUCCUUACGUGCUCCUUAUUGUCUUCUCUUGAAAAAUUUGUUUAUCGGUUAUAUCUGGUGUCGAAACGCCAUCACAAACGUGGAAUAUGGUGGGUAUAUUCCAUCCGUGAGGUAAUACCCGAACUUAUACUCAUCGUCAUUUACUGUGAAAGGAGCAUCUGGUGCCUUUCCUGUCAAAAGGUCCUGAAAUAUUGGUGACUAAUGAAGAACGUUUACGUCGUUGUUAGAACCCGCAACUCCAAAAAAAGCAUGCCAAAUCCAUAAGUCUUGUGACGCAACAACCUCUAAUACUAACGAAGACGAUCCAAGAUGAUCACUUGUGUAUUGACCUUUCUAUGCCACAUGACAAUUUCUCCAUAUCGACUUUGUGCAAUCAAUGCUUCCAAGCAUUCCCGAAAAACUAUGUCGUUCUUCUUGCGCCGCAUAUAGUUAUUGCAUGUCAUUCAAUGAACGUUUGCGCAAGUAUUUGUCACUGAAGGUUUUGAUAACACCUCUCGCCAAUCUAUACAAACUUUCUCAUGCAGUUCACUCUGACAAUCUAUAAUAAUAUAAACAUAUAUUUAAUUUUUAAAACAACUGUAAUUACGGUACUUGCUUUCCAUUGCAUUGACUAUUCGUUGAAACACAUUUUUCCGCAAACGAAACCUUCUUUUAAAAUCGCUAGGUUGGUAGACACAAUUAUCCGCAAAAUAAUCGUGUACUAGACGUCUAUUCCCUUUGAUGCGUGCAAAUUAUACCUACCUAGCUACACCUAAUUUUAUAUUUAUAACCUAACUAACUUAACUAACUAAAUUGCACCUAGGCACUGUACUUAGUCAAAUUAUAGAAUAGUCGGGUAAGUCGGGUGUCGAUCAUAGGGAAGGGUUUUAACUAAUUAAUCUACCUACUAUUAAAUUAACCUAAUUUCUAAUAAAGUGGGGGGGUUUUUUUUAUCUAAUUUUGCAAGUUUAGAUGAACUUAAUUCGUAACACAAAAUUCAAUCAAUUAACAAACACUUAUGUUAGUUCAAAUCCACUUCCCCUCAAUGGUUUAUAAAUUAGUUAUGACAAUUACUGUUGGUUACCAAUUAAGAUAGUAUUAGCAAUUCAGUUCUAAAUUUACUAACAUUGAUUAAUUAAUGUAAAUCUAUGCAUUGUCACACAAUAGUUAACUUAAAAUCAAUUAUUAAAUGAAAUUGGAGCCAUGUAAGAUUGAUUUGAAAAACACACUUAUGGUCAUAAUAUGAGUUCUCUAGCACAUCCUAAUUCAAUAGUUCAAUUAUUUUUCUAAGAUUUGUUUGAUCUUAGCUCUAAUAAACUAGUGUUCACUGAAUUAUUAAGUAUUCAAAUUCAUGCAUAUUCAUAUUCACUAACUACACAUAAUAAGAAUUUAAAGCAAUCAAAUAUUAAAUCAAACAUGCUAGGUUCAAUCAAUCAAACACAAGUCAUAACCAAAAAGUAAAUCAAAACUAAAGUAUUGAAACCAUGAGUUCCAGCUUCAUCUAGCUAACAGAAGCAGCUAGAUUUAGCUGGACAUACUAGCAAACAAACAUAAACAAAUCAUAUUCAAAGACAUAUUUAAAUGUACCAAACUAUUAAGCUAAUAAUGAACUUCUCCUUCUUCCUUGGUGUUGAAAGCCAAUUCCAAACGUUUUCUCCCUCUGGAUUUUGUCUCCAGGAACCCUCCAAGUUGUCCAAAAGUCCCUCAAAGUCGUAAUGAUCAAGAGAAUAUAUAGUUAUCAUAAAAUUCACUCUCACGUCGUGAAUGAGUAUGACUCACGACGUGAAUGCAGUAGAUAUCUGUGUUCUACAAGGAUUCCUCCUCCGCGAUGCUUAUCUUCUGGAAUAGUUCCAUUCACGUCGUGAAUAGUUAUGACUCACGACGUGAAGUUAGCAGAUUACAGGGAUUUCCUCUUCUUUCAUUCUCCAAGCCUCCAAAGUUCCAUGCUUUGUCAAUUUCAGUCAUUUUCUCCCAAAAUACUUCAAUUUGGCUGCAAAGUACAAUUAAAGCUUAUAAGCAUCAUUAUUUAAUGCAAAUAACCAAAAUAUUAAUAAAAAUGUAAGUAAAUAUUGCCCAAAAACAUGUAUAAAUAUGGCAGUAUCACCCUUCUUCACGAUCUCUGUUCAACGCCGCACGUCUGGUCAGUAGUGGAGCUGGCUUUGGCGGUAACAUGUAUGUAACAUAUCGAUACAUCAUACCCACGAACAUAUCAUUCUCGUCGAUAUCAUGAUUAUAUGGAUGAAACGGGUCAAAAGGUUCCAUUUUUUUUUUGUAAAUAGAAAUAUAGAAAAUAUAUUAAACUUGAUAGAAAUGUGUAUUAGAGAGAAUUAGAUAAAUUUUCUAUGUAAAGAUAAGUUAGAAUGUGUGUGUGUGUGUAUAUAUAUAUAUAUAUAUUAAAGUAAUUUUUUUUAUUAUUCGUGACCGUUCCACAUCGGUCAGAAAGUAGACCGUUUAUCCCGUUUCGUCCCGUUAUCACCCACACACCGAAUAUCGUAACGCCAAAAAAACGUGUACCUGGAGGCGGUGUUUGCACCGUUAUACCAACAUUUUUUGAUGUACACGUCGGAUUAACGGGCACUUCGGUUGCCCAUUCCGAGUAGUCUAAAUGUCAAAAUGCAAUGAAGAAAAAGAUUCAUUACAAAUGUCAAUUAUAAGUAUGUAGAAGGAUAAAAUAUAAAAAAGUUAUUAUCUUUUGGGAUAUACACAGUAAAGUCCCAAUAUUUUCAUCGAUUUGACAAGAAAAUCCUGAACUUUAUUUUUUUGACAGUAAAGUCCAAAUUACCGGCAGUUUUUGACACUUUUACAUUUUUUUCCCGAUUAGCCGGUAAUUAGGACUUUUUUGUCAACAAAAUAAAGUUUAGGACUUUCUUGUCAAAUCGUCAAUUAGGACUUUACUGUUAAAAAAAAAAAUAAAGUUUAGGACUUUUUUUGUCAAAUCGUUGAAAAAAUUGAGACUUUAGUGUAUAUAUAAUUUUUUUGGUUAGAAACUUAAUGAUAUGAUACUCUUUACGCAUAAGAGUUAUUGAAACAUUCUCUAAUCAGCUAGAUCAUAUUGAAAUCCUUUACGUUUGCUUCUUGUUAAAUCGUUAUUUUAAUCUCAACAAACUGACAUUGAAAAAAAUUGAGAUAAUCAAGAAAGAAAGAAAGAACCAGGGUUGUGUUGGCUUUUUGCAGUCUCAAAAAUGGAGAAAUUAGAAACCUACAAAAACGAAAAUGCCCUGACUUUUUACAAAUACAAACAACACGUGCCUAGUCAAAAUGGUGUGAAUGUGGAGAAGGGAAAGAAGGACAAUUUCGUUUUUUUCGGUUUCUUAUUUCUCCAUUUUUGGGGUUGCAAAAAGCCAACACAACCCUGGUUCUUUCUUUCUUUCUUGAUUAUCUCAAUUUUUUUCAAUGUCAGUUUGUUGAGAUUAAAAAAACGAUUUAACAAGAAGCAAACAUUAAUGAUUUCAAUAGAAUCUAGCAUAUUAGAGAAUGUUUCAAUAACUCUUAUGCUUAAAGAGUAUCAUACCAUUAAAUUUCUAACCAAAAAAAUUAUAUAUACACUAAAGUCCCAAUAUUUUCAACGAUUUGACAAAAAAAGUCAUAAACUUUAUUUUUUUUGACAGUAAAAUCCUAAUUGACGAUUUGACAAGAAAGUCCUAAACAUUAUUUUUUUUGACAAAAAAGUCAUAAUUACCGGUUAACCAGAAAAAAAUGGUAAAAAUGUCAAAAACUGUUGGUAAUUUGGACUUUACUGUCAAAAAAAUAAAAUUUAAAACUUUUUAUCAAAUCGAUGAAAAUAUUAGGACUUUAUGGUAUAUAUCCCUUAUAACUAAAUAGCAACUAUAAUGUGUGGAGUUUGGUAAAUUCCGCUUGGGUUUGGUCUCUACAACCCAUUCAACCCCAAGGCUAUUCUAGUAAUUUCCCCACUAGAAGGAGCUAGGUUCCGCUGCCUUUUAAGUCUAGGUUUUCACUAUCAUCACUCUCACUCAUCGUUUUGUGGUUUCCUGUGGAGAAGAGCAGCAGAUACUCAACAACUUGCAGGCUCUAUUUUCUCAUCGCCAUCAGGUAUCUGUAGGUGUCCUAAAAUCUACGGUUAGGGUUUUGUUAGCACAGUAAUUCAUGGAAAAUGUUGAAAUCUCACUUGUUACCGUCGAUUCAAUCUUUAUUUUUUAGGAAAAAACAUCGGUUCACCAUAUCGUUAUAAUUGUUAUGAUGAUUUUGGUAUCAUCGAUGAAGUUUUAUGUGUUAUGUUUUCGUUGUAAGCUGGAUGUUUCAGGAUGUUUGAUGAUGUGUGCGAGAAUUUCAUUUUAGGGUUUAUGGUGUAUGUUUGCUUUCUUAAAUAGCGUCUACAUGUUAGCUAAUAUAAAUAGUUACCUUGAUGUUUAUAUAUUGGUUGCCACUCGGCUUCUUCAUCUUUGAAAACAAUGCGAUUAGACCCCCCUUAGGUUUGGAUCUAUGCUUAGAUGUGGAUUGUGUAAUUUUUCUCGUGAAAACUAUUGGAUAAACUUGCUUCGUUUUUUGCACCAUGGAAAGCUUAUUUAUGAUUUAAGCCUGGUUCCAACUUUGUUUGUGGGGUUAAUUUGCUACUUUUAAUGUCUAUAUGUAAAGUAUCAGUUGCUCUCUUUUAGGGUUUAUGUUUAGGUGUCUUAUUACCUCGACAACAAGCAAUGGUGAUGGGAUUAGAUCAUAUGUGAAGUUCUUUUGGGGUGCAUGGAUUAUUGCAUGUGAUGCCCUAUAAUAGUUUUAAUAUAUCAAUGGCUGUAAAUUAUCUGUCCAUAUUAUGCUAUGGUUAUCUGUCUAUUAAACUGUUUUCUUUUUGAACAUGUAAUGUGCAGAAAGAGUGCUUUGAGGAAUGCUGGAUUGAUUGGUCCCAAAUACAAAGAAGAUGAGCAAGAAGAACCCAUUUGUAUACUUGGAUGUGUCUAUAGAUGGAGAUCCUGUUGAAAGGAUGGUUUUUGAGGUCUUUAUUAUAGCUUUAACCUUCUAAGAUCUUUCUUUUAUUCUUUUUUCUGCCAGAUGGCAUUGCCACAUCACUUAUUAUCAAGCUGAAAAACUAAUUCCUUUUAUAUGGUGUUACAGCUAUUCUCAGACACUGUUCCCAAGACUGCUGAGAACUUCCGGGCACUUUGUACUGGUAAAAUGUUCAUCAUAAUUGGUAUUCUUUUUGUCAUAAGUUUAUAAAACUGGAUGCUUUUUUAAAUUUCAGGAGAAAAAGGGAAUAGUCAGAAAACCGGGAAACCCCUACACUACAAAGGAUCCUUCUUUCAUCGCAUAAUCAAAGGAUCCAUGGCUCAGGUAUGUUUUCUAUCAAUUACUUUCAUAAAUUAUAUUGUUUUUUUUUUUUUGUUUUGUUAUUUUAUUUUCCACUUAGUUUCUUCUAGUUCUGGAUGUCUUGGUGGUGGUCUGUCUUUUUAGUCGGCUAUCCUUGUUUAAUCUGUAGGAUACAGGGUUGAUGGUUCCAACUGCUUUUCUUGUGAUGUAGUUUUUAAGGUUGUAAUUAUUUGGUUGUAUUUGUAAUAUCAUCACAUUCAUUCUGAAACAUAUCAUACAAAAUUUACAAAUCCAUCUUUCUGCAAUGAUUUCUGAAUAUAAUUUCUAUAAGUGAAUUAAUUCUUUGUAUUUUUUUUUUGCAGGGUGGGGAUUUUUAUAAACGUGAUGGUAUGUACAUUUUGCCACCAAUUUUUUUUAAUUUUUGUAUACAAAAUCCAUAUCUCAUUGGUUUACUUUUGCAGGAAGUUAUGGAGAAAGCAUAUAUGGAGGGAAGUUUCCAGGUGAGAAAAGUCACUAUGUUCAUUACUUGUGUUUUCUGUUUGAAUGUUGAUGAUCAUAAAUACAUAAUAUGUCUUUAGGUAGUUGAGGAUUUCAUUUAAUUUGUUUAAAAAGUGUAUGCAAAAGAAAUUGAAAUAAACCUUUUAGCUUCUAUCUCCCCAAAAUUUCUAUAUAUGUUUAUAUUUUGAGAGAAUGGGUUUCCUUUUUGAAUUGCCUGUGAAGGUGGGGGCUGACAUUGGUCUUAUUCUCGGUGCAUGGGAGCUCAACCCACAAUGAAAUGGGCAAAUUGUAAUUGUCUUGAAAAAUGGUGGGUGUAUGAAUAUUUUGUGUGCCUUUCUUUCUAGGUUUGAAAUCUUUGGUAAAAUACAAAGUAUUUGGUUUGGAUGAUUUAUGCAGCUAGUUAAGUCUAAUGUAUAAUGUAUGCUUUAUAUUUAUGCCCAAUACAUUGUCAUGAGUUUUUUUAUCUGGCUUUUUUUCCAUGUUAAGUUCCUGGCUACCUUAUUAUUAUUAUUUUGAAUUGGUUAUAAUCAAAAUUUGUUACAUUUCAGAUGAAUCCUCCAAACUGAAACAUGAUGCUCCUGGCCUUCUAACAAUGGCAAUUGCUGAUCGUGAUUCACGUGGCUCUUUAUUUAAUGUGACAUUUGGCGCUAAUCGCCACCUGGAUAGGUUUGCUCAUCUUUGUUGUUACAAUUUUAUGUUGGACAAAUUGAUAGAAAUAGCUACAUACCUUACUUUUGUUAUGGUUACAUAUUGCUAUUAUUGAUAAAAAAAAAGUGUUAAGUAUGUUGCUAUUACGGGUAAAAAAAUAAAUACACUGCAUGUAUUGGUAUUUCCUACAUGUUAUCUUUUUAUAUUUAUCUGAAAAGUUAGAGUUUUAGCAACAUUAACUGUCUAACUUUUGAUGGAAAAGGAAAUUUAAGUGUUGGAAAUGGAAUUUCUUGAACAGGAAGUAUGUUAUUUUUGGAAAGCUUGUUCAAGGACUUGAUGUAUUGAAGAAGAUAGAAAAUGUGGGUGAUGAAGAUGGAAUGCCAACUGUGACAGUGAAGAUCAUUUAUUGUGGGGAAGUAAACGAGAGUGAGAAUCAAAGCUCUGGUAUGGUGGAUAAUUAUUGCAUUUUUAAUGACAUAAUUGUUUGUUUAUUUUUUUAAAAUAAAGUCUCUGUUUUUGAUGUUUUUAUAGAUAAGAAGGCAGCCAGCAAGUUGAAAAGUGGGAAAGAUGUUUCUUCAGAGGUUCACAGCCAUGAAGUGAAGCGGAAGGGAAAGCACAAGAAAUCUUCAAAAGAUAAAAGGAAGAAAAGAAAAAGAUAUUCUUCAUCUGAUUCAGACAGUUCAUCUGACAUGGAAUCUGACUCAUCUGAUUCGGAUAGUGAUUCCGACUCUGAUGAUUCAUCCUCGUCAUCAUCUGAUGUCAGCUCUUCAAGUGAUGACAGGCGUAAGAGAAAAAAGAGAUCCAGAAAGGAUCGACACAAACGUGGAAAAAGAAAGGACAAAAAACGCGAGAAGAAGCGUAGGAGACGCGAUAAGAAAUCCAAACGUAAAUCAAAGAGGUUGGUAUGGUAUUUUAAUUUUAGUUAAACCUUAAAUAAAGUAAUGUUUUAUUCUUUAUAAAAGUUAUUAUAUAUCAUUUUGUAGGGUGUCUGGUAGCGGAAGUGAGAGUUCAAGUGAAAGCGAACAUGCGUCUGAGGACAAUAAUGGUGAUGUCAAAAAGCGAAACCGGAAACAUAAUAAUAGUAAUAAUAAAUCUCCUACAGCUGAAUUUGAAGAUGGUAAAACAGGAGAUGCAUUUGCAUUUGAUGGACAUGUAAAGGAGGAAGAAGGUGAAUACCCGAAAGAAAAUGGUGGGGACCGCCCAAGCAAUGGUGUUGACCUGGCGAAGGCUGAUAUAGUCGAUGACCAUCUCGGAAACUCUAGGUUCAAUCAAAUUUAAUAAAACUUUAUUAUUAUUAUUAUUAUUAAAUUCUUUCUAAUCUUAUUUUUUUUUUACUAAACAGAAGUAGAAGCAAAAGUCCUCCUCGAAGGGAAUUGAGCAAGAGUAUGAGUAUUAGCCCAAGGAGGAGUCAAAGUGUUAGUGGGACCCCUCCUAGACGGGCCCCAUCACGUAGCCCGGUCAGAAGCGAAAGCAGCAGCAAGAGUCCGGUUAGAAGCAUAAGCAGAAGUCCAGUGAGGGGCAAAAACGUCAGAAGCAUAACUCCCUCACCAUCACCUCCACGAAGGAGUGUUUCUAGAAGCCCACUGCGAACAUCGUCUAGAAAAUCCUCACGAAAAUCAGUAAGCAGAAGUCCGGUUAGAUCUUCCAGAAGAAGCUACAGCAGAAGCCCAGUCAGAUCAUCUAAAAGAAGCUUGAGCAGAAGCUCUGGUAGACCGCCUUUAAGAAGAAGCCCUAGCAGGAGUCCGGUCAGACCGCCUAUGAGGGGUGGUCGCCGGAGCUAUUCCAGGAGUCCGGUAGGUGGGCGUAGGGCGGCUAGGUCACCGGAGAGAAGCUUGUCUAGAAGCGCUUCACCUGAUGGCUCUCCCAAACGUAUCAGAAGAGGACGCGGUUUCAGUAACCGAUUUUCUUACGCACGCCGAUACCAUUCUCCCGAUCGCUCCCCGGUCAGAUCUUAUCGCUAUAGAAGUGACCGCGACCGUGACCGUGACCGGUAACAAACUAACAGCUAGCAAUUUUAAAUUAAGUUUUUUAAUAUAUUUAAUAUAAAAACAAUUAAACCAAUAUUUUGGUUUGUAGUUAUUCAAGCUAUAGAAGGCGCAGCCCACUGAGAGACAGAAGUCCACCAAGGUAUUUUGGAGUAAUAAUGGAAUCUUUUUUUUUGGUGAGAAAGUGAUUAUUUGAUUGUUAAAUUCAAUUAUUUACACAGGUACAGAGGGAGAAGAAGCAGGACACGGAGUCCGAGUGUGUCCCGGAGUCCUGUCCCUGUGCGGUACCGCCGGCGCUACAGUCGGAGCCGGUCGCCGGUGGAGACAUCAAGGUACAGGCCAUCACCGCCAGUGGAGAGGAGGAGGGCGCCACGCAGCAGGACCCCGCAUUCUCAAAGUAGGAGCCCGUAUGAACGUAGGUCCUCUCCAUCACCAUCUCCGAGAAGGAGCGUGAAGUCAAAGUCAAAGUCAAAAUCGCCAUCGAGAUCAAGGUCAAUGUCGAGGUCAAGAUCUAGGUCGUCUUCUGGAAGCCCACCUGGGAAGAAAGGACUGGUGUCGUAUGGAGAUGGUUCUCCAGACAGUCAGAAGUGAGAAGAGAAGAGAAAGAUCUUACUUUUGAGGGUGAAAUGAUUUAUAGACUUGGUAAUUGGUACACUAUGUAGGGUGGGUGUGUUUUGAAUAAUUUGACUAUUUCUCUUGUAUUUCUUUCUUCUUCUGUGGAGUGACUGUUGAGGUGCUGCUAGACUAGUAACGAUGAUUGGAUAUGUGUUUGUUUUUAAGAGGUUGGUUAGACUGAGGGGAAUGGGACCGAGUAUCAAUUAUGUUAUGUUUUAAAAAGCCUCUUCUGUUUUUAUCUUUAUUGUUAUGGUUUGCUCUUUGAUCAGUGCGACUUGAAGGUAGUUUGUGCAUUUAUAUAUGUAUUAACAUAAUCUUGUGUGCUUGAAUUGAUACAUUAUAUUAUAAUCUUUUCAAAGAAUAAGCUAACAAGUUAAAAGGAGGGUCAUCAAGAUGUAUUGAAUUAUUAAGUAGAUUGAGAGAAGAUUAUUUACCAUCUCUUUAAGACCGGUAAUAAUUGCGACAUAUGUAUUGUAUUUAGUUAUUUAUUAUUUAUUAACCGAUAAAAUUGGAAUAAGUUACCUAAAAUUUAGGGGAAAAUAUGAUUAAUUACGUAAGUUCAGGGGGUAUUUUGGUUUACGGCAACAGCAGGCGACGUGUAGAAGAAGAAUCUCGGGAACCCUAGCAGAGGUUUGUUUCUCAAUCCUACGCCGCUACGACCAUUGCCGCUUUCUCCACUCCACGAUGAUAACAAAGAAACAUCCGUCGCCGUUUCUCAAUCCAACGGUAAUAUGAUUUACUUGUUCGUUAUUAUUUGAAUCUAUUAAACACAAGAUAUAAGCCGAAGCAUUUUGAUUGAAAUAAGACAGUAACCAAUAAAUACUAAAAGCCAAUCUCUUUUCUGUAGCUUGGUAACAUUUGUAUUACUAAUAAAUGAUGAAUGUAUUAUUGAUUGUACUUGGGUUUUUGAUUGACAGGGUAACAUUAAUGAUAUUGAUCGUAAUGUUCUAUGCAAUGUGUUACACAUCAAACAAUGCUCCAAAGCCUCCCAAUAUAUGGUGAAGUUUACAAAGCAAAGGCAUUGGAAUCAUCAAACAAGUAUGUCUCUACCUUUUAUAAGCUUCUUCAUUUUCAGUAACAUUAUAGGAAUUAGACACUCUUUCUUUGUCACCACUGCAUUUGUGAUGGCAUUGGCAGCUGGUAAGCUUUGGGACACCAUUUCUGAAUGCAUCUCCCAAAUUCAAUCUGAUUGUGAUGAUGAAGCUAAAGAGAGGGCACUUCAAACCCUAGUUUCCAUCACAAAAGCAAGCCCUCCACACAGAAAUUUAGUCAUGCAGAAUCAGGAAGCCAUCCCCGCUCUCCUCUCCCUGCUCAAAUCCUCCUCCCGUGCUCUUGAAAGACUCUCACUUUCCAUCCUCUUCAACCUCUCAUUAAACCCUAAUCUCAAAUCCACCCUUGCUGACAUGGCAACCAUUCAACACCUCAAUACUGUGAUCCUGUCUCGUGGGUCACUCGAGUCUAGCAAACUAGCAGCUUCUUUGAUAUGCAGCCUGGCAAUGCUAGACAAGAAUAAAGCAGUGUUUGGGGUAGCGAAUACUAUUCAAGCAUUGUUGAAGGGAGUUUCAAGGCCUAAUAGUCCUGUGACACAUCACCUUCUCAGCUCACUUGCUGAGUUGGUGCACUUCCAUGGGAAUUGCACAUUGGCUGUUAGAUCAGGUGCAGUUGGUGUUCUCCUGAGAAUAGUUGAGAACAAAGACAGUGAAGAUCUUUGUGGGACUGCUCUUAGUAUUCUUGGGCUUCUUGCUAAGUUUGAUGAAGGGCUAAAAGCUUUGACAAAUACACCUAGUAUUGUGAGUAGAAUGCUUGAUGUGUUGAAAGGUAGGUCCAUGUUGAAUAAUGAAGGUGCAGCCGAGGUACUUCUUCGUGUUUUUGAUGAGAGUGAAGAAUGCUUGAGAGAUGCUAUCGGAUUGCCUGAUUUCAUGUAUACAUUAGCUGAGCUCUCGGUGAGAGGAUCAACGAGAGCUCGGGAGAAAGCUUCUCUACUGUUGAGAAAACUUGAGGCUAAUGAAUCAUAUGUAGAUGAUGAUCUGGUGUUCUUGAAAUGGUAAGGUAGGAUGCGUGUCUUAAGAAAAGUAACAUAAUAAGAGCUUUUGUUUGUUUUGUAGCACAUGAGUGUGCACAUUAUUAGGUCCUCUUUGAAGGUUUAGGUAAUGAAUAGAUGGGUUUGGUGUUAAAAAAGGCAUGGAGUUUAUAGGAUUGAAGCCAUGACUCACAAAACUACGAACUACAUAAAAAAUGAAUUUGAGAGUUACAUAAAGCCAUAAAGUUAAAUUUAUAAAGAAAGCAUAACUAUCUUGCAUCCAAAUACAACAACAACAACAAAUAAACCCAAAUCCCAUAAAGUCUUGUGAGGUAAGUGGGAGGUUUGAUGUAGGUGGUCUUAGUGUCUUGCCUCCACCCGUGGGUAGAGAGGCUACCUCUAUAGGAGACUUUCGCCAUGAUCAAGGAUGCACCAUACAUGAGCAAAUAAAAGCAAUAUACAAUUAAAUAUACUAAUACUAGAAAUAGUACUAAUUGUAAAAAUGAAAUAACAUAAGACGAUAAAUACUUAAAUGCCUAAAUGAUAAUACAAGAAACAAAACUUAUGCUACUACACUAACCUAAUUCUCCGUCUCCACUCCUACCUAUGUGAGGUCUGUAGAAGGUGCCAACUCCUUCGUGUCUAACCUCACACUAUAGUUACGUUGCGUCCUCGGUCGACCUCUCCUCUUCGCCUUACCGUAGAUGUGACGCCUCGAUCCAUUGAGUACCGUCAUCUAUCCUUAGUACACUUUAUUUUAAAUACAACUAAGAUAAUACCUUAGAUUUCAUCUUCAUCAUGGUUUAACAAAAUUACAUAAGCAAAAGUGCAUAAAAGAAAAACUAUUUUAACCGUUUAUAAUUCAUCCAAAAUUUCUGUUAAAACACUAACUACUUGUGGUCCUUCUUCUUUCCUGAGAUACAUACAUGAAUACAUAAGCUUUAAGUUUAGUGAGUAUUUUGGUUUUAAUAUUUAGCAUAAACAUUUGAUGGAAAAAUAACAAUUAAAUGCUUGAAAACAUUAAUUUGAGAUCUUAUAGCUACAUGUAAGUAGGCCCAACUUCUGGGAGGUUUGCUAACCUUGGGAUUCAUAUAAGGCUGUCCCAUAAGGUCCGUUUUUAAGACGUCCCUUCAUCCCAUACCCAAUGCGUUGGGUUACUUGGGUAUUUAAAUGACCGUACUUAACAUGAAUAAAACUUUCAUGCUAACUUCAUAAUAUGUUGUUAAAUGUCUUUGAAAAAUCAUUUGAGCAAGUGAACAUGGCAAAUAAUUUAAAUGCAUUGAACAUAUACGUAGCAUGUAUGUAUCCCAUUAAAUCACAUAAAUAUACUCACCUUUCUUUGAGCUUUUAGGCUUCUUUUUAAUCUUUUAAGUCACCACCAAGCUUGAUAGUGUAUUCUAGGAUGAAAAAAAAUGCUUAACUUCACUUGCUAUGUCUAGUAAAAUUGUGUGCAUUGCUUGCUUGUUCUUUAGGCCUAAAACAUAGUACAUUGUUGAUGAGAUGAUUACACCUAGUGUACUUGUUGUACCUCAUCUCCUUAGAAGCUUACACCUCAAGCCUCUAGCUCUUCUAUGUCAUCUUCCAGCUUAGCUUAAUCUCCUUAGAAGCUUACACCUCAAGCCUCUAGCUCUUCCAUGCCAUCUUCUAGCUUAGCUUAAUCACUCAAAAUCUAGGCAACGCUUAUCUCUACUUGUAUAUGCUAGCUUGGUUACUACUUUUAGCCUUGAUUUGUCAUGCUAAGCUUUGGUUUACUUGUAGCUGGUGUUGUGGUACUUGUAAGCAUAUGGUAAGCUACUUGUGUGCUUGCUUAUUUUCAACUUUUCUUUUUACAUAAAAUUUGCAACAUUCUUCUAUAACAACUAUUCUUAAAGUGUCCCUUAUGUUCUUUUAUAUUACAAGGGUGUUAUGGUAGAUGAUUGCCUCCUCUUGACAUAUCUAAACCACUAAAAUCUUUCUUUCCUCGAAUUUUCGGUGGUUCACGCAACUCCUAACUUAUUUAUGAUUAUAGCAUUCAGUAUUUUCUCCAACAUUGUUGUAAAGCAUAAACACUGAAGGAUCCUCAUUUCAGAAAUUUCCAUCUUCCUCUCAUGCUCUUUUUUUUCCGGCUAACAUUUGAAGCAACUACCACCUUGUAUCUUGCAUCCAAAUGAUGCCAAUGGUUGUUUUAAAACAAUUUUGGCUAAGGGUGUAGACUAGACAAAGCAAAGUAGAAGGAGAAACGAGGUUUAUUGGGUAGGGUUUAACAUGGACUAGGCUUAUAUAGACCACACUUUUAUCAUGUUAGAUAGUAGAUAGUUUUUUAUAAUGAUUUCUUAUGCAUCUUUAGCGUGGUCGUACAAUUAUGAAUAUUUAUAAUAGUUGGAUAAAUUUAUAAAAUAUGAAAGUGUUGUGGCAAAAUCUAGAGAUUUGAAACAUGUGAACCUACAUGUUUUAGACAUGACACUUUAGUGUCUUGUUUAGGGACCUAUUCCGUGUAAAUGCAUGUAAUUAUCACAUGAAGCUUGCAAAUUGAACUUAUUUUACUAAAUAUUAGGUGUAGACUACCAGGAAAGAAAUUUAAAGCCCAAAUUUGCUUGCCUUUUCUUUCAUUUCCUUUAUCGUGAGUUCGUGACCUUUCCCCUUUAUUGUGCCCUCGACAAUCGACAUAGGACAUCGCCGAGUGGUGCGUUUGCUAUCGUAUCUUUCGAUUGCACCUCAACUACACCUAAAACAACAAGAAUUUGUUUAUCGCAUUGAUAUUAAGGUAUCUUUUUCGAAUACUUAACCUUUAGAUCUAGUUUGAUCCCAAAUCGAUUAUUCCAAAAUUUUACUUGUAAUGCUUUAGUUAGGUAAAUUAUUUUGCAACCGGAAAGAAUUGGCUAGGGUUGUUUGGAAUAAAUGUUUGUGUGCUUCCGAUUACGCUAUCAAUAUUUCUUUACAUUUUUGUUAAUAGGAUUAAUGUCAAUGAACUUAACUUGUAUAUGGAAUGUCAUAAUUAUGAUUUCCAUUCCAUGAUAAACAAUGUUAGGGCCUUAUUAAUGAGAUAAUUCUUUAAUUAAGGUAGUUAUUUAAUUACUUAGAAGCAGUGAUGAUAGUUUGUUAAGCUUUGGUGUCAUGGAUGGUGUCACUUAGAUCAUGAGAGAGAUAGAGAGAAGGGAAGGGGGGGGGGGGGAUCUUAUGGGCCAUCAUUUGUACCCAUCUAGUAGAAUGACGAGAGAGUCGAGUUCCAUAGGUCUUGGAUAUUUCUUCCAUUUCAUAGUGGAUGAUAGUGGGUAUCUUACUAUGAUUUCCUUCUUUGUAUCUCCAAAUUAGCAAAGGGUUUAAAGGCAUUUAGCUACAACUCAUUGCCUUAUUGUGGUUGUAAAUAAUAUGUCCAUCUUUUUGCACAUGUUAUGCUUUUUUCGUAAUCUAGUGGGAAAUUGUGUUAGAUCUUUUGAUAUCCUCGUUUAUAUAGAGGGACACGUUUGAGAACAUGAACCAUAAAUUUUGGAUAUAAUGAUAUUAACUAUGUUGAGACAUCUUUUUGGUUUUAAGAUGAAUUUUGGUUUUACUCCCACCAUUAUCCCAUUUUCUUUGGUUUUUCCUCUCAUUUUUGGACCAUUGACUCUAGUCGUAGUCAAAUCUCAUCUUUACCAUUUUAUAUGGACCUUGUUGCUCAAACCUCAUCUUUAAUAUCGCUAUGCGGCGGUGUUUGGGAUUGCUUUUCAAAACAACCUAUUGACUUAUUGGCUUUUUGAAAAGCCAAUAAGUCAAAAAUAAUGUUUGGCAAACUCAAAAGCAUUUUUCAAAAUAACUUUUCCAUUAGCUUCAAAAAGGAGAUUUCAAAAAGCAGGUAAAACUUGGCUUUUUGAAACUCCUUUUAGCUUUUUAAUCAUAAUAGCUUCAAAAAAGAGAUUUUAAGCCUAACAUUUUUUUUAAACUUAUUGCCUUAUUGGAUUUUGCCAUCUCAAAAGCUAAUCCAAACACUUUUUUAAGUCAAUAAGCACUUUUUCCCAACAACACUUUUGGAAUUCAAAAAGCAGUCCCAAACACCCCCUUGUUCCAACCAUGUGUUGUCAAUGCACCAAGAUCUUCAGUUUUGAUCUGAGCCUUGGCCUACAUUAGUGCUGGCUUUGACUAUUAAGUUCUACCUGAGUUGGGUGUCACUAGCAUUUUCUCAAGAGAUUACUUGAUCUUUCAUUAUUCUACCUUGGUGUCUUUUAGCAGAGCAUCAGAGUUUUCUCUAUUGAGUCAAGAAAUUCUAAACCUUUUAUAUUGCUGGUCGCCUAUAGAUGUUUUUUCCAAUCCAUGACUUGUAAACUACGGCGUUCUCUGUUCUUAUAGAUUUGGUCCUUGAAUUUUAUGCAAGAAAUAUUUUAUAAUGCUUAUUUAAAAAAGAAAAAACUAAUGUAAUGCAAUGUUUAGAAGAGGAAGAAUGAGCAUGGUGGGAGAUUGGAUUUGUGGGUCAUGCAAUCACUUAAACUUUUACUGGAGAGAAUCAUGCAGGAGAUGCAAAGAGCCACGAUCCCAAGACAUGAAUGCAGCUGUGAGUGCGGGCCCCAGGGUGUUUGCUUUUAGGCCCGGGGAUUGGUUCUGUGAUGUUGGGAUUUGUCAGGCUCACAACUUUGCAAGCCGAAGAUUCUGUUUCAAAUGUGGUGUAAUUAAAAGCAUACCAUCUUUUGGUCCUACUGUAGGACUAGGAUACUACCCUACCCUUCCCCUUCCCCCUCCCCCUCCUCCUUUCUUGAGUUUCAGUUUCAUGAAUCCCAGAAUCAGCCAACGAGGCUGGAAGCCUGGCGACUGGUUUUGUGGCAGGGGGUUUUUUUUUUAAUUUUUUUUUUUUUUUUUUUUUUUUUAUUUUAAAUAUUUUUUUUUUUUUUAAAUAUANUUUAUCUUUUUUCAUAUUUUUUUUUUUUUUUUUUUUUUUAAUUAAGGUCAUAAUCAUUAUUCAUUAAUACUAGUUGAUUCUCAUUCAUAUAAUCAUAUGAUAUGAUAUAGGCCUGGCUGUAAUGCACACAACUACGCUUCCCGAAUGAUAUGUUUCAAGUGCAAGUCUUCUAGGGAAUUGGUUACCAAUGUUUCUAAUUGAUUCCUUCCUUGCAUUCCGAAUUCUGGUAAAGAUUUUUGUUUUUUUUUUUCUUAUGAAUGUGUGUGUAAUUUAUGUCAUGUUUUUCAGGUCCUAUGGUUAUGCUAUCACCUCUGUUAGGAGAGAGGGAGAGUCAGAGUUGUUGUUUUUUCGUUCAGAUCUUGUUAUAUCUUAUGUGUUUCUUUUUAUUUCUGUUGGUUGCAUUGCAAUGGAGUUUGAAUCUGGUAUGAAGUUUACAUGAAUUAAUGAAGGAUGUAAUUAUAAGUGGUUUCUUCAGUUUGAAUGUGAUGAUUAUGGAUGGAUGGAUGGAGUUAUAAGAUUUUUGUGGCAAUUUGGUUGGAUCAUAUGUGUAGUUGUAAGAAAAGUUCAUUCAACUGGGUUGUUGAGUUUCAUACACAUUCAUUUGCAAAUGGUAAUUUGACAAGGAUUUUUUUUAAUAUAGCUGAUUUUGGAAAUUUUGGUCUUCAAAUGAUUUUUUUGUUUUUUGUUUUUGUUUGUUUGUUUGUUUUUUUUUUUUUUUUUUUUUUUUUUUUUUUUUUUUUUUUUUGUUUGUUUGUUUGUAAUGGUCUAUGUUCCAAAUAAAAUGACUUUUUUUUUUGUUUCCUAAGUUAUACCUGAUUUUUGCAGUUUUAUCACAAAAAUAGUCAUUUUCUUGGUACGAGGACCAAAAUCAUUAAAAAGAGGAUCAAAAUUGCAAAAAAAAAACUCACCUCAAAAUUGCAAAAGAAAACUCACAGACCAAAAUUACAAUUCAAAAUUACAAAAAGAGGACAUACUACCUAAUUCAUUGAUGAUUAAAGUGGGACAUUGUUUAGUCGUAUUCAAUAAUAUAUAGAAGUAGGAUCGGGUGAUGACUUGAAAAAUAGUGAGGAUUGCGAUGACAAAUCUUGGAUGUUUGUUGGUUUAAAUGGGUGGUUGAGAUAAAUCAAAAUUAAUAAAUAAACAAAAAAAAAAUCGUCCAAUGACAUUUUUGUAAAUAAAAUCAAGUUAGGAUCACUUUCCAAUUAAAGGGCAAUGUCUGGGGGUCAUAACUGUCAAAGGAAAUAAUAAAAUUUUGUUGCUGAAAUGAACUCCACGCACAAAAGGUGCGUCGCCAACUCUAUGGAUCUUACUCUUGAACACGUUUCGCCACCAGGUUUACUUGGGUUUAUUUAUUUAUUUUUAUUUUUCAUGGAUCUUACUCUCGUAUGAACUUGUAUAAGUAGUCCCCGGAAAUGUAUUGACCUGAACUUCAUGAAUAUGGCUUCGUAAUCUGGUUUGGAUGGGUUCUAACGGGAAAAAAACAGGUCUUGAACAAGCUGUUGUUUCGAGUUAAAAUCUGAAAAUUUAACCUAGUUGUUUAAUUAUAUGUUUAAGGUGAAUAUCCCUAUUUAAUCUUGAUUGUUAUUCUUAGGAGUUUUGAAAGGUGACCGGGUGCGAAUGGGUUCUGGUUUCAGUUGGAGGUUUACUCUACUACUUGAGGUGAGUUUCUCACUACACUGUGUAAUGUUGUGCAUUCUUUGCUUUAGCUCGUGUGUGUUAUAGUAUGUUUAUACGGGUAACACUAGAUUGGGUUAGUAUCUAGUGGGAGUAUGUUAUUUGUUCAUGUAUUGAAGAAUAUGUAUAGAAGGGAUCGACGUAUCCGAGCAGAGGAUCGGGCAUAGCCAGUGUGUCCCAAGGGGUCGACGAAUUGAGCAAGGGGGAUCGGGCAUGACCAAUGUGUCCCAAUGGGUUCGGGUGAUCGGGCUUAUCCAAUGUGCCCCAAUGGCUCGAUGUAUCGAGCAAAGGGGAUCAGACAUAACUAAUGUGUCCUAGUAGGUGUAUGUUGUUAUUGAUUCGCUCUUUGACAUGCAUACGUGUUUGUGUGGUUGAUAUUGUUGUUAUAUGUGUAUUAAGGGUAGAGCUUGUAUGAUAUAGACAUAUAGUAUUGUGUAUGUGUGAAAUCCCCUAAGCUUUGUGCUAUUCCCUUUUCCCUUAAAAAAAUACCAUUUCAGGAUUAACAUGUACUUAGGAUGGCAGGGUGUGAUAGUACACACCGGCUCAGUACGGAUUGAUGAAGUUUUCAUAUUACCUUGGAUUAUGUUUCUUUGAUUUUGGAAUUUAUAAUUAACAAAUGGUUUUUGAAAUUUAUUGAUCUUGGGAUUAUGGUUUUAAAACUUAUUUUGAAAAAAAGUCAUGGUUUUGAAUAUACUUAUAUUGUUUUUAGAAGUUCAAAUUUAUUGUAAAUUUUAGGAUGUUACACAAUUGUAUUGGAUUGAGUGCGAAAUUUGAAAAUCCAAUUGGAUUACUUGAAGGCAAUGUUACUUUGUUAGUCUUAUUUAGCAUAAUUGUGUGCGGUUUUAUUUUUAGUUAUCGUAGUUAUAUUUGGUUAUUCGAUAGAAAGAGAUUAGAAUUGGUUGGAUAAUGGAUAACUACUGAAUUAAACCAAUAAAAAAAUAUCCAAUAGAUAGAAUCGAUCUAAUCCAACAUCCAAUUGGAUCGAUUUGGUUUGAUUUUUUUAUGAUGAAUUGGAUUGGACCGGUUGACAAAUCCAACAUCUAAUGGAUGAUUAGAUUGGAUUGGUUCCAUCGAAAUCCAUUGGAUUUGAACCGCUGAUCACCCAUAAUUUGGUUAUUAUGUUUUUUUCAAUCAGCUGCUGGAACAUGAUGGUUCUAAAAACAUUUUGCAAAAAGGUAAGAAUCAGCCAUAAAGUCACAUUACCUUUCAUUGUUGAUGGUUGUGGAAUGUGAACUACUUUUUAUUAAAUUAUAAAUUAUCUAAGGAUGAAACUGCAUUUCCUUUCUUCAUAUCACUAUAACACAUUACAUUAUUUUUGUAUGUUUUUAUAACAUCAAAUCUUUGUUGUGAAACAAGGUUUAUUAUUAACAUGAGUUGGUUUGAGCUUUAACAAAAUUUUAAGAUAAUUAACUAUUUCAUACAAAUGAUUGUUCCAUGGAUUAUAUCAUUAUUAUUAUUAUUAUUAUUAUUAUUAUUAUCAUUAUAAAUCUUAUAAUAGAAGUCACUUGUGACAUAUAUCCUUAUUAUUAUCAUUAUCAUCAUUAUAAAUCUUAUAAUAGAAGUCACUUAUGACGCGGUUCAAGAUAACUCCCUAUAUUGAAGUGCAAAUAAUAAAGAUACGAAUGAUGGAUGUUACGUAAUAAGAUUAUAAUUUGAAAUAGUAUGCUAGAAAGUAACAUGACAAACAAAUCCUGAAACCGUAAACAACAAACAUACAAAAGCCAGUUUGGUAUCAAGAACAAGGUUGGACCGAAACCGUAAACAACAAACAUACAAAAGCCAGUUUGGUCCAAAACCCGAAACCCGAUUUAGUACCCGGAACUGGACCGGACCGAACCCCGACCCGCUACACCUAAAAACGGUCCAGUUCUCGGGUAAGGUAAUUCAUGGUUUUCGGUCUUCAGGCUGGUCCGGUUCGGGUUCUGCUCGUUGCUCUAUAUUGAACCAUAUUAAUUUGAAACUACGAAAACUCUUCGGCUUAUAUUUUAAGUUUCUAUUUGGUGUGUUAGCUGAAAAAACUAGUUUUUAACUUAUAAGCUAGUUUAUCCAUAAACUAUCUCGGAUAACUUAGACAAAACUGCAAAAUUGGUCCUUGUGGUAUGCAUUUUUUCUGAGGUUUAAUCCAAACCUCGAUUUUUUUGGAUUGGUGGUCCUUUUUGGUCCCUUGAAAAAUUGAAAAGACUAAAAUGCCCUUCUGAACAGUUUAUAUGUUAUUUUCUAUUUAAUUUAAAAUUAUAUUAAUUAAAAAUAUAGGGCCCACCUCUUUCUUUCUUUCUUUCUUUCUCUCUCUCUCUCUCUCUCUCUCUAUAUAUAUAUAUAGCCAUUUGGGUUUGUCUUUGACAAACAUCUAAUAACAUCUUCAUAAAUUCAAGAACACUCAAGAACAUCUUAUGCCAUCACCACCAUUCGACCACCGUCCUCCACCACCACUGUCUGCCACCUCCAUCUCCACCUGAACUUUUUAUACCACUUUAUAUCCGCCUAAAAUCAUCCCAAAAACAAAAAUCAUACACAAAAUAUGGGUUUGUUCUUGAGUUUCCCCUUAAAAAUAAUCACUAGAUCUGAUGCCUCAUCAAGAGCUCAUGAACACACACACCCACCCACAUUCAAGAACACAUUCAUGAACCCCAUAUCUGAUGAGCACACAAACACAAACACACAUUAUAUCAGAUCUGAUGAAGGGUUUUUGGAUGAACACAUUCAAGAACAAAUUUUUGAACCCUAGAUAUAAGGAACACACGAACAAAAUCAGAUCGAGUUCAUGGGUUCUCGGGUUCUUCAUCCAAAAAACAAAGAUCUAAAACCAAAACGAACAUUUGACCCCUCAGUGGCAGAUUUCUUCGUCCCCAUCUUCCAAAAACCCAUAUUGUAUGUGUGUAUUUUGUGACAUCCCCGAUUUCACGGCCACAAAAGACCGAUUUGAUUAUGAUUAUUUAAAUCAGAAUAUUCUUUUCAAAAGAGUAAUAAUGUGGAAUUUGUUCCAAAAAAUAUGACAAUAUCAUUAUUAAAGCAUUUCCGAGGAAAUGUAUUUCAUUUAUAUUUAAAAACCUUGGGAUGUCAUGGUCAAUACAACAACAUAAGCAUAAAACGUAAUAUUACAGGCCUUACAAUAGUUUAUUAUUCUAUUGGCCUAUUCUCCUUUAAAUCUCACUCCAAAUUUAAACUCAUCACACCUAUGCUCUUACGCUGCUACCUGUGAAACAAAGAAACUGAGUGGGUUAGGCUUCGGAAAGCCUGAUGAGCACAUAGGGUUUUCAACCCACAAUAAUUAAAUUUAUUAAUUUCAUCAAUCAAUCAACUCGGUUAUCCGUUCCCGUUAUCCUCACUUUUUGUCCCUAAAACAUCUAAAUUAAGGGACUUAGCCUAAGGAUUUUUCAUCGGGGUGACAGCACUGCAUAGGGGAUUCCUCAACAAUAUAUGUUAAAAGGCAACCAUAGGGGAAUGGAGUACAUCUGGUGAACAUUUAGUUCAAAAACACCUACAUGUUUCGAGCCUACCACCGUUCCACUAGACUGUCUAGAAUAGUUUGUGGUCGUCAUCUAUACUCCGCUAGAUGACUGGAUCAUCUUAAACACUCUAGGCCUAUCAUUAUUUAUUUUAUCAUCUAUAUCAUCUACCCAUCUUUACCCUUUAUAUUUAUAGGUACAAAAUACAUACAUAGUUUAAAUCGAAUAAAACAUGUAUAUUUUGUUCAUCCAACAUACAUAUCAAGAACACAGAUAAUAUACACACAUAACACGUAAUUUUUAUUAAAUACUUCAUAUUUAUGUAUAAGAUGAAAAUAACUAUGCACUCACUUGACUAGUUAGUGGUUACUAACUAUGUUCUUAAUCGUCGUUAUAUCACACUUUCUUUAUUUAUGACUCCUUGCUCGAAAAUUCUGAACUCUAAUUUCAAAAUUUCUGGCCCUUCUUUAUAUCGAGUAUAUCUUUGGCUAUUAUUGUUUUCUAUCAUAAGAAUUGCUCAAAGGAUACCUCUAUUUAUAUAAAGGAUUUUUGAAUCGCCCGUACAAUAUCAAAAGAUUAGUCACCCAAAAAAAUUACACGUAUAACUUCAAUAAAUUAGAUGUGUACGAACAUACUUGAAAGGUUAACACAUAUUCUUCUGAUAUUGACUCUAAAUUAGAAGGUGUAUUAUUACUUCUCUUUUGUCAACACAUAUCAUUUUAAUUAAUAAAAUAUGUACGACAUGUAUUAUAUUUCUUACAGGUAUGUUGGUUUGCAAUUUACAAAUCAAUUAUAGUUACAUUUAUGGUCCAUAAGUUAUUAUUGUAUUAACACAAUAUAUCAUUCAAGUUACACUGUAGUCCCUCAGCUGCAUGGAGCCCCUAAUAAGAAUAAAGAACAAGUAAGAGACGAUCACCCACUUAUUUGUUUGGAUCGGUCCGAUCCAAUCAAAUUAAGUAAAUUCAACUUAAUUCCGGUUUACAAAACAUUGAUUCAAAUAGUUCAAACUAAAUUCAAAUUCGGUAUGAAUUAAUCAAAUUACAAUUCGAUUUUCAAGAGUCGGAAUGUUUUAAAAUAGUUAUAAUUUGAAUAUUAGCUGACUUUAUAAAAGAAAUAUAAUCAAAUGGUUAGUUGUAAAUUAAAAUUUAUAAACUGUUAAGGAAAAUAUAUUUUGAUUCAUUAGAUAAAAAAAUCUUGAAAAAAAAAUACAUAUUAAGGUUUUUAUUAGGAGAGUGUUUCUAACCUAUUUAAAAAACAAUUCAGUAAAUUAAUAAAUAAUUAAAAGUAUAUAUUAAAAAUUAAAAUAUAUAUAUCUAUUCUAAUAAAUGAAAGUGUUUUUUGUCACAUGUUACACUCUCACUCAAUUUAUCAAAUGUCAUUUUGUGGUUAUUUUGAAUUAAUUUAUUUUUCCAAAUGUCAUGUUAUGUUUUUUUUUUUAUUUUAAUAAAGUUCACAUAAUAUUUAAAUGUAAUAAUUACAAUAAAUUUAGUAAUAAAUAAAUAUAAAUUUCAUUAAUGGAUAAAAAAAUCAAUUUUAAAAGAUAAAAAAAAUCAAUUUUUAUAAUUCAUUAUUUUUUUUUUAUAAAUUCAAAGUUCUUAAAUAUUUAGACAUUUAUAAUUAAUUUUUUUGAUUAACUCAUAUAAUCCAUGAGUCUUAUAGUUUACAAAAUAUUUAUCAAAUAAAGAUAUACUUGCAUGCUGUAAGAUAAUUUUUUUUACUAAUUUACCACCCCGGCCUUUCUAACAAUAAUUUGUAUUAUAUAAAAGACAAUGUUUUCUAAAUAAAUAAAAGAUAUUAGUUUAUUUUAUAUAUAGACAACCACAUAUCAUUUCCAUAUAUAACAUGAUGGUUGUUCAGAUCCGUGAUUAUUUAAUUUAAACUAUUAAAUAUGUAUUUUAUGAGUCGGUGAUUUCUAACACUAUUAAAAAAAGGGACAUUGUAACGAAACUAAAAGGCCGAGUUUCCUGUAAGCAGCUGACUGAAGCCAGACAGUCAAGCCAAGCUGAUUCUCCCCGCUCUCGACCAAAAUCUAUUACUAUUUUCAUCAUCACCGACACCCUCCCCCUCUCUUUUCUUAACAAAUCAAUACAAAUGAUUAAUAUGCAGUAAUCAUCGAAAGUGAGAUCAAGAAUGGGCCCUUUUCUUCUCACGCCAAUGCCCAUCAAACUUCAUUGAUUAUCAAGUUCCUUCAAAUUCAAAUCAAGAACGAAAAAAUCAAUUUCUAUCAUCUGGGGCUCUUCUUUAGUCCCCUGUUUCUACUUUAAUUGGAAUACAUGGAGGCAAAUGCAGGAUUAGUUGCCGGAUCUCAUAAGAGGAACGAGUUGGUGAGAAUAAGACAUGAUUCCGAUGGAGGGGUAUGUGUUCUUUCGAUUUUUCUUGAAUACCCUUUUGGAUUUUGAGUGUUCAGAAAUCAAUUUUAUCGACUCUUGUAUAGAUCUAAGUGAUUUAACAGUAGGCUAUUUUGUUUAACCCAAGUUUGUUUAUUUUGUUUGGAUCUGAGUGAUCAGUGUGACCAGUGAGCUCAGUAAUGAGUGAUGAUACGACUUUUGACUUAUUAAUCCUACCUUUUUGUUAAAUCUUCAAAGAGGGUUUUUUGUUAAAUUUGUGGAUUUAGAUCUGAAUCAUCGAGAUGAAAGUUUCUGUUUUCAGCGCCCAUCUUGAUUAAUUUGACAAAAUUUUCAGCUUUAGCACAUGAUGAUUUCUUAAAUUAUUUAAUUUUGAUUGUGACGUUGAGUGUUGAUGAUGCAGCCGAAGCCUUUAAAGAAUAUGAAUGGACAGAUAUGUCAAAUCUGUGGCGACACCGUCGGCCUGACUGAAAACGGCGACGUUUUUGUUGCUUGCAACGAGUGCGCAUUCCCGGUUUGUAGACCCUGCUACGAGUACGAAAGAAGAGACGGAAAUCAAGCAUGCCCUCAAUGCAAAACUCGAUACAAAAGACACAAAGGUUAGUUUUUGAGUUUUUGUUCGUAUCAAGAACACAUCAAACAUAUGAUUUUUGUAAGAAUUAAAGAGAGAUACAAAUGUUUUUAGGGAGUCCCCGAGUUGACGGUGAUGAUGACGAGGACGAUGUUGAUGACCUGGAAAACGAGUUUGAUUAUGCACAAGGGAGACGACAAUGGCAAGGAGAAGAUCCGGAUCUUUCUUCAUCUUCUAGAAGACAUGAAUCACAGCAACCAGUUCCCCUUCUCACUAAUGGCCAACAAGUAAGAAAAUUACUUAUAUACCCUUUUGUUCUAAGCAUUACCUUUUUAACUAAAUUCAGAGUGUUAUUUUCAGGUAUCUGGUGAAAUCCCAAUUGCCACACCGGACAAUCUAUCUGUAAGAAGUACAUCGGGUCCAUUAGGCCCUGGUGACAAGCCUGUCCGCUAUAUGGAUCCAAGACAACCAGGUUACUUUCUUUUUUUUUUUUUUUUUUUUUAAAAAAAAAGUAUUAUUAUUAAUCAGAUAAUGUUGUAGUAAUUAUGCUAAUGAUGCCCUUUUAAUAAAUAGUUCCUGUAAGAAUUGUGGACCCAUCAAAGGAUUUAAAUUCAUAUGGGCUUGGGAAUGUGGACUGGAAGGAAAGGGUAGAAGGCUGGAAACUAAAACAAGACAAAAACAUAAUGCAAAUGGCAAACAGAUACAAUGGCGGUGAAGGGAGAGGAGGUGAGAUUGAAGGCACGGGAUCAAAUGGAGAAGAAUUGCAACUGUAAGUAGUAAACUAAAGGGUACUUUAGGAAUAUCAUAUUUGUCGACUUAUGAUUUGACUUUUUUUUUUUUUUUUUUUUUUUUUUUUUUUUANUUUGUUUUGUUUUUUUUUUUUUUUUUUUUUUUUUUUUUUUUUUUUUUUUUAAAUAUAUAUAGGGUUGAUGAUCCAAGACAAUUAAUGAGCCGUGUGGUGCCUAUUUCAUCUUCUCAUUUGACUCCAUAUCGAGUUGUGAUUAUAUUGCGAUUGAUUAUUUUGGGAUUUUUCUUGCAAUAUCGGUUGACUCAUCCUGUUAAUGAUGCGUAUCCUUUGUGGCUUGUAUCUGUUAUUUGUGAGGUGUGGUUUGCUUUUUCUUGGCUUCUUGAUCAAUUUCCAAAAUGGUCCCCCGUUGAACGUGAGACCUUCCUUGAUCGCCUUGCAUUGAGGUAAGUAAGUAAUGGGAUUUAGAUUUUGGGCUAAUUGCAAGAAAUAGCAAUGUACUUUCAUUUGUAGUCAUCAUCAUGGGCAAUUAGGUAAUUUUAGCUUAAACAAUGAAAAUUUGUUGUUUUGUAGGUUUGAUAGGGAAGGAGAGCCUUCACAAUUGGCACCUAUAGAUGUCUUUGUGAGUACAGUGGAUCCAUUAAAAGAGCCUCCUCUCAUCACUGCAAACACAGUGUUGUCUAUUCUUGCUGUGGAGUAUCCUGUUGACAAAGUCUCCUGCUAUGUAUCUGAUGAUGGAUCUGCUAUGCUUACAUUUGAGUCUCUUUCUGAGACAGCAGAGUUUGCAAAAAAGUGGGUCCCAUUCUGCAAGAAGCAUAGCAUCGAGCCCAGAGCCCCUGAGUUUUAUUUUGCUCAAAAGAUAGAUUACUUGAAGGACAAGAUCCAGCCUUCUUUCGUCAAAGAACGUAGAGCAAUGAAGGUGAGUUUUACCACUUUUAUGUUUUAUGUUUUAUGAUUUCUUCCAGUGUUUUACCAAAUACCUAAAACACCCUUUUAUGGCAGAGAGAAUACGAAGAAUUCAAAGUUCGGGUCAAUGCACUUGUAGCAAAAGCACAAAAGAUGCCGGAAGAAGGCUGGUCUAUGCAGGAUGGAACUCCUUGGCCUGGAAACAACCCCCGUGAUCAUCCUGGAAUGAUUCAGGUAUUUGAAUGAUUGUUUGGUUGCUGAAAAUUUGUAUAUCAACAGUUGAUUGUUGACUUCUCUUGUUUAUGAUGAUUGGAAUUGGAUAGGUGUUCUUGGGGCACAGUGGAGGUUGCGAUACAGAUGGAAAUGAGCUACCUCGUCUUGUUUACGUGUCCCGUGAAAAACGUCCUGGGUUUCAACAUCACAAGAAAGCCGGUGCCAUGAAUGCUUUGGUAUGGAUCUCUUAAAAAAACAUGGAAAUUUUUUGUGUUUAUUGGUUGUUUAUGGAUGCGAUGCAAUUUGGUGUUACAGAUUAGGGUUUCGGCGGUUUUGACGAAUGGCGCGUACCUUUUGAACGUCGAUUGUGAUCACUACUUCAACAACAGCAAAGCUCUAAAAGAAGCCAUGUGUUUCAUGAUGGAUCCUGCCUAUGGAAAGAAGACAUGCUAUGUUCAAUUCCCACAGAGAUUCGACGGGAUUGAUUUACACGAUCGAUAUGCUAAUCGCAAUAUCGUCUUCUUCGAUGUGCUUUUCUGAACUUUACAGAGUCAAACUUAAAAAAAAAAAUUCAAAUUCAAAUUCCGAUCUUGUUGGGAUUUCAAAAAUCAAAAAUUGACAUUUCUAUAUAUAUAUAUUUUGUACAGAUUAACUUGAAAGGGCUGGAUGGGAUUCAGGGGCCGGUUUACGUGGGAACUGGUUGCUGUUUCAAUCGACGAGCUCUGUAUGGAUACGACCCUGUUUUAACAGAGGCUGAUUUAGAACCAAAUAUCAUUGUGAAAAGCUGUUGUGGUUCACGAAAGAAGUCGAGAAACGUUAACAAGAAGUACGUGGAUAAAAAAGCAGUGAUGAAAAGAACGGAAUCCAACACUCCAAUUUUAAACAUGGAUGAUAUCGAUGAGGGUGUUGAAGGUUUGAUUUUGAGUCUUUCACUUUAGUUUGUGGGUCCAGUGAAUCAUUAAUGUUGACUAAAUUCUUUUGUUUUUGAAAGGGUAUGAUGAAGAUAGAUCGUUACUAAUAUCGCAAAAGAGCUUAGAGAAGCGAUUUGGUCAAUCUCCUGUAUUUGUUGCUGCAACUUUCAUGGAGAUGGGAGGAAUUCCCCCCACUACCAAUCCAGCUACCCUUUUGAAGGAAGCAAUACAUGUUAUUAGCUGUGGUUAUGAGGAUAAAACCGAGUGGGGUAAAGAGGUAAUUUUACCCUUCUAGCUUCCGAUUCUUGUUAUACAUGGUCAUCGGAAAAACAAUAAUCUUCAUGUUAUUUUGUUUUGUGUACAAAUGCAAGCAGAUUGGAUGGAUUUAUGGGUCUGUGACAGAAGAUAUUUUAACUGGAUUCAAGAUGCACACAAGAGGAUGGAUCUCAAUAUAUUGCAUGCCACAACGUCCGGCUUUCAAGGGUUCUGCUCCGAUCAAUCUUUCCGAUCGUCUGAACCAGGUCCUCCGGUGGGCUUUAGGUUCAAUCGAGAUUUUACUCAGUAGACAUUGCCCCAUCUGGUAUGGGUAUAAUGGUAAAUUAAAACUCCUGGAGAGGCUCGCAUACAUAAACACCAUCGUCUAUCCCCUCACCUCCAUCCCUCUUCUAGCCUACUGUGUACUUCCGGCCGUCUGCCUUCUCACCGGAAAAUUCAUCAUCCCCGAGGUACGUUAAUCAUGCUUUAUGAGUUGUACGAUAUGCAUGAAUGUUUGUACAUGUUGAAAAUUGGGGGUUUUGCAACAGAUAAGCAACUAUGCUAGUAUGUGGUUUAUUCUUCUCUUUAUCUCCAUCGCUGCAACCGGAAUCUUGGAGCUCCGGUGGAGUGGCGUGAGUAUUGAAGACUGGUGGAGAAACGAACAGUUUUGGGUGAUAGGAGGCACGUCCGCUCAUCUAUUCGCCGUCUUCCAAGGUCUUCUCAAAGUUCUCGCCGGAAUCGACACCAAUUUCACCGUCACAUCCAAGGCAAACGACGAAGACGGUGAUUUUGCAGAACUCUAUAUAUUCAAAUGGACGGCGCUCCUCAUCCCACCCACCAGUGUUCUGAUCGUAAACCUAAUCGGCAUAGUUUCCGGCGUUUCAUCUGCAAUCAACAGCGGUUACCAGUCGUGGGGCCCACUUUUUGGGAAACUGUUUUUUGCAAUCUGGGUUAUCGUCCAUUUAUACCCGUUUCUCAAAGGUCUGUUGGGUCGGCAAAAUCGAACCCCCACCAUUGUUAUCGUGUGGUCGAUUCUGCUUGCUUCGAUUUUCUCCCUUUUGUGGGUUCGUAUCGACCCCUUUACCACAGACGAUACUCUUGAUGCAGUUAAAGGACAAUGCGGGAUCGAUUGUUAGGUAUAUAUAUAUAAAGUUUCUGAUUUGCAAAUUUGUGUAAGCCGUGAUGUGAUGCGAUGUGAUGUGUACGAAUGAUAUAAUUAUUUGAUUUAUUGUUGUUAUCCCACGAAUUCAAUGAAAAAUUUAAGUAUAACCUUAUCUUAAUAUGUCGGUUCAUUACAUUCAAUUAAGUUGAGUUGUAUGCAAAUUUCUUGUUAUUAUACAGUAUAUUACAAAAUUCAAACACUAUCUUCUUCAUAUUUAAUUUCAUGAAUUUAGUCUUCAACAAGUACAUAUAUAUAAAACAAAACAUGAAAUUCCAUACACACCAAGGUUCAUGUCAGAUCCUGAAACAAAAGAUUAAAGAAAAUAAAGUUAGAUGGUUGUAAAUUGUAACCUAAUGAAAUAUAAGAAAAGUUGGGGUUUUACUUACUCAAUAUAUUCAACGUUGAUUUUCUCCCUUUGAGACUUGGAAAUGGCAGAAAAAGCAUCAUUUGACAAAACAAUAGUCGAAGGACACGGCCUUUUGGAACAAAAAUCUACCACCUUAACAUCAAUGGUACCAUCUCUACAUGGUUUAUUAUUUCCACUCAAACACUUGAGUCUGUAUCGCCUACCACAUGCUGCACCGUUAUCCCAUAGUCCUUCGCUCACUGACACAAAUAAGUUCCCCAAUGGGAAUUGAUCUGCUCGGUUGCCAUUGCACCUUGUGGCUACAUUAAAAAUACAUAUAAAAAAAAAUACUUCAAUUUAACUAUUAUUUAUUUAUUUAUUUACAAUGUCAAAAACAUAAUAAUUAGAAUCAUAUUUAAACUUACGUGUAUAAGGAGGCUCAUAGGAUGAGGCAGUGCCAAUUUCACUCAAACCACACUUGAUGUUAUUGAAGAUUAACAAUAAAAAUAAAUUCACAAUCACUCCAAUUCCCAUCGCUACAAAUUCCCUUUUCUUUUUUCUCUCUCUCUGUCAAAUACUAUGGUAGUAAGAUGCACCCCCUUGGAUUAUAUAUAGAUAUCGUAUGGAUUUAUUUAAAAGAUAUAGGUAUAGUUUGAGAUAUAUUGUCACGUGUUUUUUAAUAGAAAUGUGCUUAGCAUGUAUAUAGAAUGAAUGAAAAGUUGGUGAUCAAAUUGGAUAAACUAUAGAUGUUUAAUGUGAUAUAUAUCUACCUUUGCGCAUGAAAAAUGGAUUUAAUAGGUUUUGGUCAAUUGUGAUAUAAAGUUCUUGAUGCCUACCACUAAUUAGUUUAAGGAAAGAUGGUUUCUAACGUAAACAUAAAACAACUUUUCUAUCGUCUCUUUUAAACAGAAAAAAUAGUCAAUUUUGACAAUGGCACAAAAAGGCAAUGGAAAAGCAUAUGUAAGGAUUAUUAGAUAAAACGAUAGUGUUUUAAUGGAGAAAAAUUAUAUUUUCGGUGAAUUUUUUUUAGUUGAUAAACCCAUUGUUGGUGUCGAAUCUAUGAAAUUAUUUUGGCUUAUACGUCGGCUGACCGAUAUGAUUACCAAAGAAAGGUGCAUCCAGUACAAUCACCACUAACUAAAACCAAUGGCUCUAAACUGUUCGCAAUUUUUUAAGGAAGGGAAAUUCAUAUUUGAAUUCGUCACUACAAAGUGUUACAUGAUUCGUUAUUAAUAAAUAUUUUAUAUUACCUUUUAUCAUAUAAAUAAACAAUCCAAAUUUUAUUUUUAGAUGCAUAUUUCACAAAGCUUUUGUGUUUUUUUCGGUUCAAGUUUGUGUUAAAGUAAUUCAAUAUAGAUGGAGAAUGUCGUUCAAUAAAAGUAGUUUGUGUUAAAGUAAUUCUAUACAGAUGGAAAAUGAUGUUCAAUAAAAGUUUAGAAUAUCAGAUAAUCAAAAUUAGUUUGUCGAUAAGAUUUAUUAUUUUAAAAGAUGGGAUAUAUAUACUAAACUCUCAAUAUUUUUAACGAUUCAACAAAAAAGUCUUAAAUUUUAUUUUUUUAGAGUAAAAUCCUAACUAGCGGCAGUUUUUGACAUGUUUACCAUUUUUUGCCAGUUAGCCAGUAAUUAUGGUUUUACUAUAAAAAAAUAAAAUUUAUGACUUUCUUUUUCAAAUCGUGAAUUAAGACAUUACUGUAAAAAAAAAUUAAAGUUUAGGACUUUCUUAUCAAAUCGUUAAAAAUAUAGGGACUUUAGUGUAUAUAUCCAUUUUUUUGUUAGAAAUUUAAUGUCAUUAUAAUCUUUAAGUAUAAGAGUUAUUGAAAUCUGACCAAUAUGCUCUGGUCAACUAGAUUCUAUUAAAAUCAUUAACGUUUGAUUCUUGUUAAAUAGUUUUUUUUUAAUCUCAACAAAUCGACAUUGAAAAAAAUAAAGAUAAUCAAGAAAGAAAGAACCACGAUUGUGUUGAAUUUUUGCAUAAUGAUAAUCAAGAAAGAAAGAACCAGUAUCGUGUUGAGUUUUUUGCAAUCCUAAAAAUGGAGAAUUAAGAAACCGGAAAAGAAGAAAUUGUCCUUCUUACACAUUCUCCACAUUCACACAUUUUUUACCGGACAUGUGUUGUUUGUGUUUGUUGAAUUUGUUCCUCUUUUCAGUUCAAGAUUUGACGGCGAACCAAGAAAAAAGUUUUACAAGUCUUCUUACCCUCUAUCGUUCUCUCUUUUGCAUCAGUUUCCCAGAUUGUGAUCGUAGCAAAGUAAGAUGAUGAUGGUAAGAAAAAACAAUGGUGUUGCAAUAAAAAUCACAAUUAAAAGUUCUUGGGAUAGGAAUUAGGUCUCAUGAGACUGAUAAAAUUAUUUGUUUCUAGGGAAACCAAACCUAUACACUAAAGUCUCAAUAUUUUUAACGAUUUAACAAAAAAGUCAUAAACUUUAUUUUUUUGACAGUAAAACCCUAAUUACCGGCUAACCGGCAAAAAAGAGUAAAUGUUUCAAAAACUGUCGAUAAUUAGGAUUUUACUGUCAAUUGAUUUUAAUAUUUUCAUGCAAAAGACAACUGUAUUACGAAAGAAAUAACUGUUAACCGUAACUACAAUAAGGUAUUAAAGUUAUAGAAGUUUCAAUCCUAAUAACGCAUAAUUUUCACUUUUGGUUUAAUAUGUUUAUAUUAUUUAUCUAAAAAACAAAAUCAUAAUAAAUAUAUUUUGAUUAAAUGUCACAGAAAAACCACGCCCAUGUCAAUUUUGAUUGUUACAAAAUGACAAUUUUUUUGAAAAGAGAUAUCAUACCGUAUUAAUAAGGUGGUGUUUGUUUUUUUUUCAAAAGCUCUUCUAGACCUUUUAUGUCUGCAUCGCGUAGACGACCCACAAACUUUUAGUCCUAUAGACUGUUUGUUUUUUAGAAGACCGUACGCAUAAAAAAAUCUGUCCAUCCUCUUCUUGACGUAGAUGUGAACAUAUGUCUUCUAGUCUCUUUCUUAAUCUUUCCACUAAUCUUAAGAGACAAUAAAAAAGCGCAAAAAGAAUAAAAAAAUGAAAAAAAAAACCUAUCAAACCUCAUUCGUGCACCUUUUUUUUUAAUUCAUUUGCCAUGUAAACACUUUGUAAAUAUAUUAUUUUAAUGAUUUUAGCUUUAUAAACUUUAUUUGGUCAAAUAAUUUUUUGGUAUUCAUAUUUUAAAAAACUUUAUGCAUAUUUAUCCGAUGACUUUUUAUAACAGUAAUUAAAAAAGUUAAAUAUACUACAAAACUUAUGAAAGUAUUUUACGAACGUGUUUUUUUUCUUCAUAAAAUGGACAAUUAAUUUGUUAUAUAUAUAUAUAUAUGCUUAUUAUAUGAUAACUAGGCUCGUGCGUGUGAACAAGUCUCCGUUUGCCACCUAGCACGGUAUCUNNNNNNNNNNNNNNNNNNNNNNNNNNNNNNNNNNNNNNNNNNNNNNNNNNNNNNNNNNNNNNNNNNNNNNNNNNNNNNNNNNNNNNNNNNNNNNNNNNNNNNNNNNNNNNNNNNNNAUAUAUAUAUAUAUAUUGAAAAUAAGGUGGUUGUAUUAUUAAAUUACAAUGUUUUUAUAUAAGAAAUAUUGAAAAAGUCUUUUAAAUUAAAAAAAAAAUCAAUUUAUUUAGGUUUUAAUUUAUUUUAGCAGUUUGUAGAUUUUAAAAAACAAACAGUCUUCUUGCAGACUGCAGACGUUUGGUCCAUAUCUUCUACUGCAGAUGUCGUCCGCAGACUGCAGACAUUUUGCUUCUGAAAAACAAACACCAUCUAAGUUUCAAACGCAUAAACAUUUAUUAACAAAAGACAUGUAAACGUGGAUUAUGAACUAAUGACAUAGAUAUACGAUAAGUACUAUAAAGAGGAAAAAGCAUAGUUAAGAUUGACCCAAAUUGUAAUGAUUAUAGUCUUGCUAAUGUAAAUAUUUAAUUAGUUUUUCUUGAUAAUCAUGAUAAAUGAUACUUUUUGACUCAUGAGUGAUGAAUAAACAAUAGUAUAUAUAGAUUUACUAAGACGAAAAAAGACAUGAGUUUUAAUGAUAGAAUAUUAUUGAAAAAAUAAUAAAGAAUAUGAUCAACUUUAAAUUAGUGCCCGGAUAAAAUCGAAGUUUUAGAAAGUGCUGAUUAGUGGCGAUCCUUCAUUUUUUUAUAACUUUAUUUCAAAUUAAUGGUAAUCAUGUAUAAUAAUUAAUAAACUUACAAUACGCUAAUAUACAUUACAAUCAUUUUCAUCCUAUGUGAAAAUAAUUUUUGACAUAUUAUUCGUUUUCAAAUUAUAUAGAUGCAUAGGCAAUAAUAUGUCUUUUAUGUGAAAUAAUGUGUGUUUUUUUUAUGUGAAAACAUGUUUUUUAUAUAUAAAAAUAUAUUUUCACAUAAAAAAAACCUGUUAUGCAAAAAACCUUUUGGACCAAAUUUAUAUAGAAACAUAUUUUUCACAUAUAAAAACCUUUUUAUAACAAAAAUGUUUUGUAAAAAAGGUUUUUAGUAUAAAUAUGAUUUUAUAAAGCAAAAAUAACAUAUUUCGAAACAAAAUUUUGGAAAAAUAUAUGUAAAAAAAACAAAAUUUAAGAUGAAAUUGUAACAAAAUUUUAAAAUAGGGACAAAAAUAUAAAAAUUGGACCAAAUUUAUAACAAAAUUUAAAAUCUGAGAAAAAAAUGUAAAUUUUAAAACUGGGAUGACCUUAUAGCCGGGAAAAAUGAUGAAAAUGAAUAUAUUUACCUGUAUUCGUAUCUUAAUUAAAAAAAUAAUAAUUUAAAUACUUAAUUGAAUAUAAGGUUAAAAAUAUAAACACUUUAUAGAUUUUCCUAUACUAAAUACUAUAGCAAAAUAUGUGGAAUUUGGUAUUUAGUAACUUUGGUCUCACUUUUGUUAAAUUUCUAUUUUCUAUCAUUUUACUUUUUGAAAAUUCGUUUUUACCUCUCGAUUUUUCUACUUAUUAACUUUGGUCCAUCACUUUUGUUAAGUUCUCAAAUUUUCAUCCUUUUUACUUUUGAAAUUGUUGCUUUUACCCCCUUUAACUUUCAACUUUCUAGAUACUCAACUCACUCAGCAUGAAGUAUAAGAAAAAAGAGAAGAGAGAGAGAGAGAGAGAGAGAGGAAGCAGCGGGCUGAAGAACCCACAUGAGACGUCUUCUGGCGGUAACCACCAAGGCGUGGAUUUGUUACCCUAGCCGUCGCACGACUCCGUGCACCCUUGGAGAGUAAUCAGUGUUAAAACACUAAGUUGCUUGAAAUAAGGAAUUUGAAGUUAAAUUGAAAAUUUAAAUGUAGAUACGAAAACACAUCAUCUUGCUAACUUGACAACUUAACGCCAUCUUAAGUGGAUACCAUAGAAUGACCCACGAGUGGCGAAUUUAAAAAAAGAAUCACAUGGUUCCUAAUUAAGUGAAGCCAAUAAAAAAAAUCAACAAUACUUUUGGAGUCGGGUCAGGUCGGCUCAUGUACCUUAAAAGAACUGAACAAGUUCAAUCGGCUCAUGUACCUUGUAACGACCCGUCUCUGGUAUGUUGUUUCCAUGUUAUUUAUUUAGAAGUUUUCAAGAGGGACUCGGGGAGUCUAUAGCCCGACUCGUCGAGUAGAGACGGGAUUUCGAGCACGUGUAAGUCGCCGACUCAACGAGUCCAUAUUCGAGACUCGGCGAGUCCGCCUGCUAGGAAGAAACCCUAAAUCCCCGGGUUUGCUCACUAUUUAAGCAAUGUUAUGUGCCCCAAACUCGCCUCCUUCACCCUCAGAGAGCUUGAGAGAAACCCUAAACCAUUCCUUGUAUGACUAAAGUGUUUUGUGUGGAUUCUUGAAGGAAAAAGAAGAAAGGACCCAAAAAGAGGAAGUGUAGAGCAAAGAUCCAAGGCCAAAGUCAGAGUUCAUUGAGGUAUGUCUCGGAAUUAUUCUGUUUUGUGCUUAAAACCUCCAUUAGAACACCUCUAAGGCUAGUUUAAUGUAUUUUCCAAGCUUUAUAGUUGUAUGGAUGCCUUGUUGGGUCGAGAUAUCCCUAGAUCUGUUCAUUUAGGAGUUUUAGAGCCCUGAUCUAGUGCCUUUUCGAAGUUUCUUUGCUUGAGAACCCUAGAUCUAGCCUUUAUUAUGCUUUUUGAGCCUUUUAAUCUUCAUGGGUGCAUAUGGGCACGUAAAGAUAGAAUCUUUACGUGUUAAUCGAGCUUAGGGAGCCCAGAUCUAUAAGUUUUAUGCGUUGGAUUCAAGCAGAAUCGAGUUUAUAGUAGCUGCAUGCAUGCGACUCGGCGAGUCGUUCUUCCGACUCGGUGAGUCGAGUCGUGAGUCCCCGAUUUUUCCUCUUUUGAGUAAUGCCGAGUGGGGACCAGUGAGUAGUAGAGUGGACUUAGUGAGCUGGAGGUCAGACUCAGUAAUGGAGGGACUCGACGAGUUGUUCAUACAACUCGGCGAGUCCAAGGCAAUCUUCUUAGCUCAAGAACAACUCGUCGAGUUGUUCAUACGACUCGGCGAGUCGGAUGCAGAUAGCUUGAGUUCUAGAAUCGAAAGGAAACUCGUCGAGUUUAUGCCAUACUCGACGAGUAGCAGCGAGUAGGGUUGAGAAGUGAGAAUAGGGACUAGGCGAGUUGGCGGCCCAACUCGGCGAGUCAGGUCAACUGUAGGUUGACUUUGACCAGGAGAGUUGACUUUGACCAGGGGUAAAAGAAUCAUUUUACCCCAAUACAGUGAUUAGUAUUUGAUUGAGUGUGUUUAUGGAAUUGUAGCCGGAGAGAUACCAGAGCAGCAGCAGAUAGCUUCCAGAGCCAUACAUUCAGCAGCCAGUUUACGAGGUGAGUUUCCUACCAGUAGGAACGGGUCUACGACAACAAUGCCGGCCCGUUUAGCUAGCAGUUAGUUCCGGACUUCGGUCCGAAGCAGUAGUUCAAGGUGCUUGAUGUUGUGUUUCGGGCAUGUCUAUGUGUUAUGUUAGCAGAUACGUGUUUAUGUUAUGCUAUGUUCAGACAGUUCCGGAUUUCGGUCCGAUGCAGCUAGUUCCGGACUCCGGUCCGAUGCAGGGGACAAGGUCCCAGUCAGUUCCGGAUUUCGGUCCGAUGCAGACAGUUUCGGACUUCGGUCCGAUGCAGUCAAUUCCAGACUUCGGUCCGAUGCAGUGGGCAAGGCCCAGUAUGUGCUUUAUUUGUUAUUGUGUGGUAUGCGGUAGUUUAGGGGAGCUCACUAAGCUUCGUGCUUACAGUUUCAGUUUUGGUUUCAGGUACUUCCGCAAGUAAAGGGAAGAACUCGGGAUGAUGCAUCGCACACACCACAACUUCAGUUUUUGUCGUGGGAGUUGAUUCAGUUUCUUAGAUAUGUUUUGAUACUGUUGUGACACAUUUUUUCUCACAGUAUUUUAUUAUGUGAUACUCAGUUUUAUGAUCUUUGUUAUAAUAUAAAUGAAAUUAUCGGGUCGUAUUUUUGGGAUGUUUCAAGUACCUUGUGCCACCGAUUAAAAAAAUUUUAAAAACCGAUUGAAAUAUAACUGAAAAAGACAUACAGCUUAACGAAAAACUAGUUGAUUAUUAGUCCAUUGAUAAAGCGGCGAACGCAGAGUGAGAGUCUUUGGCAUGUGGGCUUUCAUUUUAUUAGAACAACUUGUUUAUUUAUUAAUAUUUUGAGAGUGCCGAUUAAGAGUAGUUAACUUUUUAUUAUCAAUCUCAUAAUUUAAAAUAACAAAUUGUCCCUAAUAACUUAUAUUUUUCUCUUUUUAAAGUGGUUUUUUUUUUUAAAAAUAAAAAUAAAAAUAAACUCAAUGUAGGUUCUCUAUUUUUUUAAGACUAAAUUACACAGAUGGUCCCUGUGGUUGGCACGAGAGACCAAAGAUAGUCCUUAUGAGGAAUUUUGGACUUGUAUGGUCCCCGUGGUUCCAAAUUGUUGCACGAAGAGUCCUUAUGACAUACUCCGUUUAAUUGUUGUCGUUUAUUUAAAUCACGUAACCCUCACACGAGGGUAUUUUGGUCUUUUGCUUAUCCCUUCUCUCUCUCAUAUCUUUAUAUGAUCUGCAAAAGAUUUCCCUUCCCUAUAAAAAUUAAACCCCCAUCACUUCCUUCAUUAUUUUUCGUCUCCUCUAUUCUCUCUUCUCUCUUCUCUCUGCUGUGUCUUUCUAAGAAACUUUGCUUAAGAAUGGUAAAUUGUUUUUGUGGAACGCAAGCGGUGAUAGUGACAUCAUGGAUGGAUCUCAACCCAGGUUGUAUGUUUUGGAAAUGUCCUAGCAGUUGCGGUUUCAUUGCCUGGUUUGAUGAGCCGAUGUGUCGAAGGGUUGUGGCUGUCAUUCCAGGUUUGCUAAGAUCCAUGAACAAGCUUCAAGAAUCUCUGCUGCAAGCAAGUUUUGAAGCAAAAAAAGUGAAGAUGAUGCUAGUUUUUAGUUGGGUUUUCUUUUUCAUGUAUGUGUAUAAAAGAUGCUAAUAGUAUUAGUCUGGAGAUGAUGGUUCUUUUGCUUGUGGGUAGAUGAUGGUUCUUUUGCUUGUGGUUAGAAUCAGAUAAUAGUAUUAAUUUGAAGAUGAUUUCGUUUUGUUUGUUUGUGAUGCAAGAAAUGUUCGUAUGUAUGAAUGGAAUGCUUUUUAUUUGGGAAACUUUUAGUCUGCUACCAUUGUAAAAUAUUGGUCAGGAACUUAAUGAGUGUAAAAUAUUGGUCUGCAACUUAAUGAACCGUGCAGAUCCAUUAAAGUAUAAAAUAUGAAAGUGAAAGGUUUUUGUAGGCUUUAGACCAUUGUAGAGCCAUAACAACAUUAGAAAUGUUCAAAAAUAAAAUGCAAACUUUUGCAUAGUCAUAAAGUUCAUUACAUAACCUUAAAGUGCAAAGUCAUAAUACCAAAAAAAUAUCAAAAGAGCUUGCAGACUAAUGUAUCAUAACCAAAAGAACCAUCUUAGUCUAGCACCCUGUGUGAACCAUAAUACCAACAAAAGAUAAAGACACACAAUAACCAACUUAGUCUGACCUUUCUAAGGUACCAAAACAAACAACACAAAAGACCUUUCUAAGGUUCCAUAACAAACAACACAAAAGACAACAAAUCAAACUUUUUCCUUCAUUUUGGAUUUAUCCUUAAGUUUGGUUUUCUCCUUCAUUUUGGGUUUCUCCUUUUUUCCAUCUCCCUGCUUCUUUGCCUUGCUAAGCUUCUUGCCCCCUGCCACCACAUUUCUAACUUCAGUUUGUCCCCCUUGUCCCUUGCAACUCCUAGAGUUGUGACCCUUGUUAUUGCAUUUGCUACAAGUAACUGUAAGGAACUUCUUGGUCAAACUUUUACCUUGAUUAUUUGGUUCUUCAGUUUGAGCUCUCUUUCUCUUCUUUUUUGGUCUCCCCACCUGCAUAAUUAAUAAAUUAUAAAACAGUAUAAACGUAUACUAACUUGUAAAUUGAAAAUUAUUUACCUGUUUAGUAUGCUUAGGAGGUGUUAGUGUUAUGGGGAAAUCUGACUUUGGCCACAUACUUCUUCCAUUGAUAGGUUGAACUUUGUACUUGUACAUUUCAUUCCAUGUGCUUAACCUAUAACAUGGAUGUACCCACUCCUCAAGAGGUGGGACAUUUUUUCCCAGUGCCUGCAACUACAAUUCCUGUCCCUCCAAUUAACCACAAAUUGUUCCCCCAUUGUCCCAGUAACUUGAGUCUUAUCAGCACCAUUAAAUAUGCAAGUGUAUUGAGAAGCAUCUUUCUUAACUCCAUCUAAAAGUUUUGUGGCUGGGGGGGGGAGAGGGGCNUUAUCUAUCACAUUUUGCACAAUACAAAUUCGUUUCAUUAAGUAUUCCCUAAUAUAUUCUAAACAUGUAAUUAUAGGUUUGUCUCGAGCAUCUAACAACUUUGAGAUGAAAACUUCACAUAAAUUAUUCAACAAAAUAUCUGUAUGUGCUCUUCCUGUACAAUGCAACAAAAUAUCUUAUAAGAAUCUGUCAAAGUGUAAAUCUUCCUUGAAUCUGUCAAAGUGUCUAACUGUUGUUGCUGUUGCACAUUCCCAUAAAUGAUCUCUGUGCUCCUUCCCCCUCCAUUGUAGCUUCAUGUUUUCGUGAAUAUGUCUUAAACAGAACCUGUGUUCAGCGCUAGGUAAUAGGUUGGCAAUGGCAGAUAAAAUCCCCUAAUUAACAAGUAACAAAAAUGUUAUUUUCUAAAUGUAGUAGACAAAAUUACAAAGAUGUCAUGAACAAGUAUCAUAAGAAGAUUAACCUUUUGCCUGUCAGAAAUAAAUGUGAAGUUUGAAUUUGUAGAGAGCUCCAAAUCUUCACCUAGACACUCUAGAAACCAACUCCAUGAGCUUUUGUUCUCGGCUUCAACUAUGGCAUAUGCUAGUGGGUAGAUCCGAUUAUUGGAAUCAAGACCCACAACAGUGAGAACCUAUCCAGUGUAAGGUCCCUUCAUGAAAGCCCCAUCGAAACCUAAAAAAUCUCUUAAACCUGCCUUAAAACCCAGUUUUAAUGCACCUAAACAGACAUAAAUUCUCUUAAACAUCCUAGUUUCCAAGUCUGCAUUUGGUUCACUGUAUACAUCAAUCUUCACAAUUGUUCCUGGGUUGCACUGUUGUAAUUCUAAUACGUAAUCCCUGAGAAGGCUGUAUUGCUUUUGAUAAUCUCCAUAAACAUGUUUCUGUGCAAGUUGUUUAGCCCUAAAGACCUUCAUUCUUGACAUCCCCACCUCGUAUAUCUUUUGUAACUCUACACACAAAGCUUUGACUGGGAUAGUUGGGUUUCCUUCCACUUCUUGAAGAAUGAUGGUUGUAAGAAACUUAGGCCUCAUUUGAUAGUUGCCGAUUGAGAAAGUGCUGACUGAGAAAGGUCUGUCUGGGUAAGAAAUCCUGAUUGGGUAAGAAAUCCUGUUGUUUGAUUGUACAUCUGACUGAAUGUGCUGAGUGAUGAAAAAUGACCAUUUUACCCUGCUGUUAUAUAUAUAUAUUGAUGGAUUAAAUUGCUGAAUAAUUAUAAAAACAUACAUAUUGUCAUACAAAAUGUAAAUUACACACAAAUAAAAAAUGUCAUACAAAAUGUAAAUUAAACAUAAAUCAUUUAAUAUCCAAAUAAAAACAUAAUGAAAUUUAAAAUAACAUAAUAAUUUAAUGUAAAGUAGGUGAAAGUAGUCGAUUUGCAAUCUGAUCACGCAAAACACGCAUAUAUUCAACGGCUUCUGGACCCCAUUCUAUGCCUUGUAUGUUUUCUCUAUCAAUUCCCCCACCUUGGACGUCAGGAGUAACCAUAGUGUCCUCCUCAAAAUUUCUAAACAAGUCAUCUUCUAUAUUGUAUUUCCUUAUAAAAUUAUGGACCGCGACACAAGCAAUGACUAUGUCUCUUUGCACUGUAAAAGGAUAAGGAGCCAUUUGUUUUAAGAUUGGGAAUCUCGCCUUCAAUACACCAUAAGCACGCUCAAUAACAUUUCUAAGUUGUGCAUGAGCAUGAUUGAACCUUUCUUCUCUAGUUAAAGGUCUGCCUCUUCGAAAAUCGGCUAACCAAUACCUAGUAUUGCGGUAUGGAGCCAUAAACCCACGAGUGUUUGUAUAUGCGGCAUCACAAAGGUAAUAUUUAUCUGCAAACGAAUGUGACAUAUUAUAUAAUGACACAUAUUAUAUAAAGAAGAUAGAUAAUAAAAAUUAUAUAAAGAUUACAAACCUGGUGGAGGAAAUGGAAAUCCAGAAGUCGAAUUGAAUGCAACUUCUUUCAAAACUCUUGAAUCAUGUGCUAUACCCUCCCAUCCAGCCCAAACAAAGGUGAAUAUCAUAUCAAAAUCACAAAUUCCUAUUACAUUUUGAAAACAUUCUCCUUUUCCUCUUCCUCAAUAACGAGUUUGUUGAUCAACAGGUACAACCGCACGUACAAGAGUUCCAUCUAAUGCACCAAUUGCUCCGGAAAAAAUAUUUUUUAACCGUCUAUGUCGUUCUGAGUUAUGUCUUGUUGGGUUAGGAGUUGUUGGUACUAUAAUUUCUUUUGCAAAACACAUCAUUGCUGUUAGGACCUCGUGAAAACAUUGAUGAAUCGUUUGUGUGGAGUGAUGAAAUCUUCCCUUAACCGCGCGAAAACGUUCAUUAUGUCCUAUAACAUGUAAGAAGAUAGCCAUCUUCUCUUCAAUGCUUAUUGUCCUACUAGCUUGCAACCAAUUUUUUUGGGUAAAAUGGUUGCAUAGUAAUGCAAAUGCCUCUUGUGUAAGACGCAUCAUAUCGAAACAUUGUGUAGGGUCUCCGUAUAUCAAAUCUUAUGUAUACGCAUACCCGCUUGAAUCGUUAUCUCUAAUUCUAAGAAUUCUGAUUAGUCUGCGCCGGUUUGACCUCAACCAAUAAAACACAAGUAAAAGAAAAGCUACAACUUCACCAUCAGAAACCAUACUUGAUCUAUUACAAACAAUUAGGUAAUAUGUUAAAGUAAAAAAAAAAUCAUGCACCAAAAAAAUUAGUAAACAUCAUUAAAAGUAACAAAAGUCGUAUAACAAACGUUGUAUAACAAAAUACUAGUAAACAUCAUCCAAAAAAGUCAUCAAACUAUAUAACAGUAAACCAAAAAGUCAUCAAACAUAGGAUCCAAAAAACUAGUAAACAUCAUCCAAAAAAAGUCAUCAAACAUAGGAUCCAAAAAACUAGUAAACAUCAUAAAAAAAACUAGUAUCCAAACUUUUCUACCCGCACCUAUCAAAGGUAACUAUACUUCCUACCCGCACCCAUCACCCACGACUCACAACUACUAUGCGAAAGUCGUAACCAAACUUUUCGAACAUCAGCACUUUCACCAAAUAGCAAAAGAGCGGUCUUGUGUCUUUCAUCUUCUUCUCCCCAUUCCAUUUUGUUCAAUUUCUCCAUACACGCAUCAACAUCCUUAUCCAUUUCACUUUUUUCAAUUCUUUCAUUUUUUUUCCACUAAUAACCUUACAAUCUUGACAAUCUCCUCUUCAACUUCUAAUGCCCUUGCAUCUCUUUUUUUUCCACCAACUCUUUUGUUUCCACCAACUUCCUUAUUUUUGAACGCCCCGAAGAUUCUUCACUUGCACCUACGUGUUGUGUUGAGGUUUCCAUUAGAACAUCAUCAUCAAAAUCAUGGGGACUAAACUCUUCUACAGGACAAGGGAGUGUAGAAGAUGGCCCCCAACUUUGAGAUCCGGUUGAUGUCAACCCUUCAAAUAGUUGGGUGCAAAGAUCAGGGAACAAUAGGGGUUUAGUUUUCAAUGACAACACGAACUUGUUCAACUGUUUACAAUUUUUAUAAAUAUUAGUAUAUGUUAUAAAAAUAAUCAUAAUAGUAUUGAUUAAAAAAAUAAAUUUAAUCAAAUAGUAUAUGUUAUAAAAAUAAUCAUAAUAGUAUUGAUUAAAAAAAUAUUACCUUCCCCUCUUCUUUCCAUUGUUCAUCGGUCAAAUUAAAUUUAUUUUUUAUAGGAUCAUAUAUAUUGCCGGUUUUGUUUUUGAGUUUCACCCAAGCAACAUACUUUGAUUUGUAGUAGUCAAAGUGGUUUCUCAUUUGCUUCUGAUCAACCUCUUUACCGUGUUCGUUUAUCAAUUUUUCGCGUAUUGUCUUCCAUGAACUUGCCUUAAGCCCAGAACCCUCACGACCAUUAGUGGUUAGUUCAUGGAUACAUGCAUCAAGAAAAGUUUUGUCCUCACUCUCGUUCCAAACCAACAUCCUAAAACAUUAAUAUUUAAAGUAAUUUAUCAUAGUUUUUAUCAAGUUAAAGAACAAUUUUAAACAUAAAGCAAUUUUCAACCAAGGAAGUUAACAUCAUCCUAAAUUAUGAUUUGAUAACUUAUACACAAACAAUUUCAGAUGUCACAAAACAUCAAUAUUCAAGCUAACAAUUUCACAAAAGAUAACAAGCUAACAAUUAAGGUCAACAAUAUCAAAGCUAUAAAAUUAGAAAGAAAAAAAAAACAGCCCAAUUUUUGAUUUUAUAGCUUAUACUUUUGAUACUAAUACAAGCUCAAUAAUUGGAAGACAUGUGAUGUUGCAUGCAUUCCCCCUCUCGCCCACUCUUCAAGGAACAAUUGGAUUAUUAAAAAAGUUAGGUUACCAUUAAUCUUAUAAUAAUUAUUUAUUAUUAAUUUUACUUUUGUACUUUACACAUAAAAACACAACNAAAACCAAAAAAAUAAAAAAAAAAAAAAAAAAAAAAAAACAGCCCAAUUUUUGAUUUACAAACCUACUUGUAUUUUCCAAUUCACAUUCAAUUUCAAUUCACAAGCUAUAAAAUCAAAAUUCAAAAAAAAAACCUUCCAAUUCACUUUCAAUUUCAAUUCAUAAGCUAUAAAAUAUGAACCGGAGAAAAAAACUUCCAAUGUGAAUUGGAGAAAAAAACUUCAAAUUCAGAAAAAAAAACAAAAAAACAAAAACAAAAAACAACUACCAAUUCACAUUCUAUUUUAGAAUUCAUAACAUUAGAAAAAAAAACCUUCAAUUUUCAGUUCUUAUACACAAAGAACUACAAAACAAAACAUAAACAAACUUCCAAUUCACAUAUAAUUUCGAAAUUCAUAUAUUAGAACAAACAAUUUCAGAUUUCAGUUCUUGUACACAAAGAACUACAAAAAAGAACAAAAAAAGCUUAUCAUAUGAACAUACAGGUUGAGAAUUCAUAAUAUUCUAACAUAUACUAAUUUGAUUUCAUAAAGAACUACAAAUUUCAUACCAUCAAAGCAUAAAUGGUAUCUGAUUUUGAAAAUUAUUAACAGAAAAAUUAUCUAACCUGUGUGAUGGAUCGAGAAGGCGUCACUGAUGGCGGUGGCGGAGGUCCGACGAGAUGGCACAGGUCCGACUGGUCGGACUGUUUGGCGUUCAAUGUUGUGGAGUUCUUCCUAGCGGCUGCUGUGCUUUUAGGUCACUAGAAGGGAAGCGAAUGGGGAAAGAAAUAAUAACGACGCAGGGGCAAGAUAAGGGCAAGAUUGUCUAAUUUCCAGUCAGCAACUGUUUAAAAACUGAUCCAGAAAGCGAUUUGGGUCAGCAGAUCUUACCGAGAAAGCUCAAAUCAAACACCAAAGGUCUGACCGAGUCAGCCCAAUUUGCUGACUCGACCCAGUCAGACAUUUAUCAAACACUCCCUUAGAAGUGCACUCUUUAAUAGACCUUGACUGCACACAUCUAUGCUCAUGAACCAAAGUUUUCACCAUCCAAUCGCUUUCUUCAUCAGAUCUAGAAAUUAAUACCACCCAAGGGCAUGUUGCUUUUUGUGAGCUGACUGUUUUAUCCUUGCAUUUGAUUCUACUUUUUGUCCAUGGCCCACCUGUCAUUUUCGGGACCACACCCCUGCAUUUUGCCCUAAUUCUUUUUUUUUUAUCAUUUUUUGAAAAGUAAAUGUUUCUCCUAGUUCGAAUUGAAUGCAUUUUAAUGUAGUCCUUCACUUCUGAUGAGGACUUAAAUAUUUGACCCAGAUGGAAUGCAGUUUCAUGUACUACUCCUGAUGAACAUGUGGUUGGUUUGUUUAACCUUCUCAUUAAUUUCUUCCUCUCAUCUUCUUCUACACCAGUUGAUUCAAAUAAUUGUGUAUCUAUCACCUCCAAAUCCUCAUCAACUGUGACAUCAGGUGCAUUGAAUGAUUGGUGGUUAUCUAGAUUUGGAAAAGAAUAAACACCACUGUGGAAGUCUUUCAUAUUCACUUCGACAUCCUCCACCAUAUUAAGUUCAUCCACUAAAAAGUCACUAUCGUCGCUUAUACUUCCAUCGGUACUAGUCUCAUCACUAAUAACAUCUCCAAUUUCUUCAUUUUCCCCCAUCUGUUGGUAAUCAUUAUGAUCCAUAUAAAAGAAAGGAUCAAAGUCUUCUGAAGGGACAACAUCUUGGGCUUUGUUAAGCUCCUCACUUGCAGGAUGAACUCGAACAUCUUUCACUACAUCUCUAUCAAAAUGUCCAAAAGGUACAACAGACCUAGAAAAGUCAUAGUUCUCAUUCAAGUCCAUUUUUCUACUACAUGAUCCUACCUUUGUACUUGUAAACUUUUUUCGAUUGAGUUCCGGAGAAAUAGGCUCAUUGAUUUCUUCCGAUACGACCUUAUUUGGAGAUAUAAAGUAUGCAUGGAGUCUAGUAGUUCCAUGUUCAGUAUACACCAUAAUCUCUUUAUGAUUAGCAACAUGCUUACUUAACAAAAGUACGUCUGAGUUGUUACCUAAAGGAAGUAACCCAUAAUCGAUUUCAAUCUCAGGAAUCAAGAAGUGGUAGUAGAUAGGCUCACCGUUGAUAUAACCUAUCUCCUUCAUCAUAUCGUCUAACUCAUGUACGGAAAACACGUCCAUGUCUACGUAGUCAACAUAGUCAAUACUCCCACCAACGUAACGUCUUCCUGGGUAUUUUGUGAACAUACCCCCAUGGUGAAUCUUGAAUGUGCAAAAACUACUUAACUCAACUGAAAAACAAAUAAAUAAUGAUAUGAGGAAAGAAUGAAGUCUCAAAAUUGAAUGUGCAUAAAUUACUUAACAAAAUUGAAAGUUGUUAACUGAUCACUCACCAUAAGCUUUGAUCAGGUCAGGAUUUUCUGAGAAUUUUGAACGGACAUUCCACAAAGUUAGAACGAUCGCAAAAGAUGAAAAUGAAAACCCUAGUUUCCGUUUGAUGUUUUGAAGUGAUGAAGAUGAAAAACCAGAGGAGAAAAGAAAGGGAUGAUUUCUUGGGGUAAUGUAAAUGGCAGCUAGAUGUAAGGAUCAUUUAUGAAUAUGAUCAUUUCGUGUAACAAAGCAAAAGACCAAAAUACCCUCGUGUGAGGGUCACGUGAUUUAGAUAAACGGAAACAAUUAAACGGAGUAUGUCAUAAGGACUAUUCGUGCAACAAUUUGGAACCAUAGGGACCAUACUCGUCCAAAAUUCCUCAUAAGGACUAUCUUUGGUCUCUUGUGCCAACCACAGGGACCAUCUGUGUAAUUUUGUCUUUUUUUAAAGAUAGUUCAUAAUUUUUCUAUUAUAUACAUUGUAAAUGAAAUUGAGAACUUAAGUAGGUCCUAGGACCUACCUAAGCACAUGGUGGAUACGCCCCUGUUACCCACACUAACCUCAUACACUUACAACACAAAUGAACUUGAACGGUCUAAGACCAAACCAAGAUAUAAUAUGAAAUGUGUAAGUAUAGUUUAAUAGAUGAAAGUGAGGUGUUGUUUGGGCUUGAAAAGUAGGGGUGAGCAUGGUGCGAUUUUUUGAGAAAACCGAACCGCAAACCGCAAGAUGCGGUUUCUAUAGGGUAAAACCGAUAGGUGUGGUUUUUGUUUCGGCGUGGUUUUACAUGCAUUUUCGGUGUCAUUCGAUGCGGUUUCGGUUUUUAACUGAAAAUAUGUGUUGGUGUGAUUUUUCAUACAUGUGUUGAUCUACCAAAGAAGUAAUAACCCCUAAAGAAGCUAGAGCAAGGCCUAAUUGAAAAUGAAGCCAAUUAUUAAUUGUGUCAUAAAGACCCUCAUGCCCACGUCUCAAUCGCCCUCUUGGAGGGAUAUGUGCAUCUAAAAGAUCUUUCAUACUGUGCCCAAUCCCAAAAUUAGUUCUAUACAUAUGCCCAACAAUAAGAAAAAGAAAUGCAAUAGCUAAAUAAUGAUGAGUCAUAUCAGCAUGUCCAAACCCGACUUUUCAGUUAACUUUCCUUUAUUUCCGGUACAGAUUCUCAUUUAAAUGUAUUUAACAUGCUUGUGAAAUAGUUAUAUGUUAUUCUUAUCAAAAUAUAGACUUCUUUAUGAUAUUACGAUUUUGAGAUUUGAAUUAUAUGUUUGAUGCAACAAGGGAUUUGGUUUUAUAAUCUCAAAUUCCAUUACUUAAUCAUUAUUGUUUAUACAGAUAGAGGCGGCUUUUGAUUCGAAUUGCAUUUUGCUUGUGAUAAGCAAAAGGAAAAUUGUUAAUGGUACGCACUUUGAUACAAAUGUCAAAUUUUAUAAAAAUAUAGCAAAACAUAAGGCAUGCACAGUGGCAAAAAGAACUGAAGAGGUCGAAGUUGAACAAAAUAUACUUUUAUUAAUAAGUAUUAUAAUAUAUUAAAUAUUGUCAGGUUUUUAUGGUGCUGUUUGGCAUUGUCCAAACCGCACCACACCGAAAAAUUACCAAUUAAGGUUGGAUUGGAAUGCAUAAUUAUCAAUUUAUCCUUAAUAAGUCAUAAAUCAACAAAAAUGGCCCAACAAUUUUCUUAAUCUUAAUUGUUGCCUUUGGAUUAGAAAUCAUCAACGAUCAAGAUUGGUUCUCACAAUUCUCUAAUCUCUACUUUUAUGUUGUUUUCAUUUGAACUCAACCCAAAAAUCUCACCAGUAAUCACCACACGAACAAAUCCCGUUCUUGAAAUGAUGAAACCUAUUUGUAUCCCGAAGAAUAAUUUCCCGCUCAACAAUCUUGGAAAUAAGCUUAGCAGCAAUAUGACAAUCCUCACAAACACGUAGAUUUUUAGUAAUCCGUAUAGGCGUAAAAGCUUUAGUAUUUAUAAUCACAAACACAAUAGCAAGCUUCUCACUAUGAACAGCAAGAUGAUUUCCUUUAUCUUCAUCUUCUAUAUCAUGAAGUGCAGAAUCCACUUCAGGAACAUACCCAAAAUCCCUCAUCUUCCCCACAAGUACUUCCAACUCUUGAUAAAUCUGUUUAGAUUGUGGAUGGGAUUGAUCUCCAGCAAGAAACGAAUGAACUUGAUUAUUAAGCUCAACAUUACUAACACCGGGCUCUUUUUUCACUCCUUUUGAUUUCAUUAUUGAACGAAUAUUUGUCACAUCUUUAAAUCUACCUGCUUUUGCGUAUAUAUUUGAUAAUAAAACAUAAUACCCUGCUUGUUCAGGGACCAAUUCAAAGAGAUGAUCUGCUGCUACAAGACCAAUUUCCAUGUUGGAAUGAACUUUACAAGCACUUAACAAAGCACCCCAGAUUCUAUCGUUUGGUUUUGUUUUCAUUUUCUUUAUAAAAUCAUAAGCUUCAUUGAUUCUUCCUGAUCUUCCUAGCAAAUCAACCAUGCACGCCAAGUGUUCGAGUCUUGGAAUGAUGUUAUACUCUUCGGUCAUCAAUUUGAAGAAAUGUUUUCCUUGGUUUAGUAAUCCGGCAUGGCUGCAGGCUGAUAGAACUGGAACGAAGGAAAUGGAAUCAGGGGCGAUUCCGGAAUUUUGCAUAUUUGAAAAGACUGUGAUAGCAGUUUCACCAUCUCCAGUCAUGCCAUAAGCAGAGACCAUGGAAGUCCAGGAGACGACAUCUCUUGUUGGCAUUUCAUCGAACACCUUGCGUGCUUCGUUUAAAGACCCACAUUUAGCAUACAUGUCAAUCAAGGCGUUCUCUACUGUUAGAUUAGGAAGAAGCCUUUUUGUUUUUACAUAUGAAUGAAUCUUUCUUCCUAGUAAUAAAGCUGAAAGAUCUCCACAAGCGGGUAGGAUGCUAGCAACUGUGAUUGAAUCCGGGUCGAUUCCGUAAUUCUCCAUUUGUUGAUAAAGAUUAACUGCAUCUUUAGGCAUCGAGUUGUUGACGUACACAGCUAUCAUGACAUUCCAAGAAAUUAAACUCUCUCGAGCGUGAUUCAUGAACAUUUCUUUCAUAAACAUCACGUUGGUAGAUGAAGUAGAAGUUGUUAAAGCAGGGGAAAGGCUGGCCAUGGUGCCUGCGUUGGGUUUUGAGGUAGAACAUUGCAUCAUUGUCUUACAAAUCUCCAAUGCAUCUUCAAACAUCCGGUUUUGGGCGUAGGCAGCAACCAUAGCAUUCCAGGAGACGAUAUCUCUACUAGGCAUUUCAUCAAACACCUGGCGUCCUUCCAGUAACCGGUUACAUUUUCCAUACAUUGUAAUCAAUCCAUUCCCUACAUAAAGAUUUGAAUGCAGACCCUUCUUGAGAACAGCAACAUGGGUUUGUAAUCCGACCCACAAAUUCUCAGACACGGAACAUGCUUUUAGAACUUGAGGAACUGUAAAAUGAUCAGGGUUAAUGUUGAACUUGAACAUGUUUCUGUACAUACGAAGUGCUUUUUCGUAGAAUUCAUUGUUUACGUAGCUUCUAAUCAUCACAUUGAAGAAGACUACAUCUUUUUGAGGAAAUUCAUCAAACAGUUGGCGGGUAACUGCGAUUUGGCGACAUUCAGAAUAAGCUUUCAUUAAUUUCAGAGCAAUAUGCGAUGCUGAGACGAGGUUUCCAUCAAUAAUUAACCUACAAUGUAUCUUUUUCAAUUGUUUGAUAUCUGGGCACUUGUCCAAGAUUUUGAUACACAAGUCUUCUGUGAUUAACAUGAUUGUUAAGGCGAGAUUUGAAUGAAUUUGAACUUAUAUUCCUUUCGCCAUGUUGUACCUGAGGGGCAAUCAAAUAGAAUGGACGAAGAUAACGAAGGUUUACUUGGUGGUGUUCACUUAAAAACAAGAAAUAUGAAGUUCUAAACGCUAUUUCUUGUUAAACAGAAAAUAUUUUGUCCAAUCUAAAAAUCCAAUUUUUGAGUAAGUUCAAGCUUAAGCUCAAAAAUAGUAAGCAAAACAUGUUUAAAAAAUAAAAGUUCGUUUGAAACUCUUUGGAUAGCUCGAGUAUAACAAUCAUCAUAAUUAUAGUCAAUAAAUCAGGCUCAAACAACCAAACUUGAUGUCCAGCCCUUGAUCAUCCAAUUGCCAACUGAAAUCAACUUAGUUUCCGGUUUUAGAAUCGCCCUAACAUUACAUAAGCACCAACUAGUUCCAAAAGUAGUUUUUAAUUCAAUGUCUCCCAUACCCGUGACUUCAAGGGUUUCCAUGUUACCCAACCUUACCAACUUAAGAUAAGUUCUUUACUUCAAUUACUAUAACAGAUCGAUGAGUCAUGUUCUAAUGACCUCUCGUCAUAUGAUGCAAUGCUUAGACUCGAGUCUUUUAAAGUCAAAUUCUAUAAUGAAAUAUACAUUCCUUCAAGUUUCUAAUGUGAUAUAAUCACAUUCUAGCAUGUAUCACUUCUAGCUACAAGCUUCUUACUUUAACAACAAUCACAAUACUUCUAUUGAUCGCUUUGAUUAUCUUUCAGUUCAAUCUUCUGGCUUAAGUCAGAUGCUACAUCGAUCUUGGUUCUCUGAACCACGUACAAUACUUAUCCUAGCUGUAAUCGAUUUGAUAUGACCACUAGGGUCGGAAUAACAAUCAUCUUCUUAGUCAUUACCGAAAUUAUGGUAAUGACACAUGAACAAAACAGAAUCAAUUACUAGCGUCUUGGUAACUCGUGACUUUCCCUGAUCCAAGUGCGAGUCGUGUGCUUCCAGUAGUAUAUGCCUCUACUACCUUUCACACCUACUCAUACUUGUCCCAAGUAUUGUCUUUCAGUUCUCCAAGUCACCAUAAAAGAAUUUCACAUAGUCAUUUAACACAUCGAAUAACAAAACUAAGGUUUAUAUUAUUUCUUGAAACGAUUACAUAGAUAUUCAAGUUCACCUUAUACCAUGCCUUUUAUAUUAGGCUACACCACAUGAUACUAUCUAUAUGGCUACUUUAUAUCUCGAUCUUCAGAUAUAUAUAGAUCCCUACUCCUAAUCCCUUGUAUCGUCACCUGCUUCAUCCAGGUUAGACUUCGAGAAUCUUCCUUUCUUAUCGAAUCUUGAGGAUCCCUCAAGCUUCUUCUUUUCUCAUGCCUUGUCUUAUUCCAGACCCUUUUUCCUAAAUUAGGUUUCCAUAUUCUUGGUUGCUCUAACGGUUGUCUUCAAAGUAGUUGCCAUUUUUACCAUUGCGCCAAAUUAUGCUGGCAAUCCGUUAGCAAAACUAUCUAUCUUGGAGAGUUCAGUAGCACCAAGUAGGGGAAUAACUUCAUCUGCUCGGUGAAUACGGUGACAUACUCAUCAACACUCAUCUUCCUUUUCUUCAAGUUCGAAACUCGUUGUUUAGGUCUAUCAGAUCUAUCUCUGAGCAGUAUUGCAUUUUCAACUGCUCCAUGAAUGCUUCCCACCUCAGGGCUUCUCCCCCAUGGCUUUGUAUCUGCCAAUAACUUCCACCAACUUAAAACUCUGGUCUUUAGUUGUCUGACUGUAAAGACGGUUUUCUGCUUGUUGCUGCAAUUGCAACUUUCAAAUGUCAUCUCUAUCUCGGAGAUCCAAUCCAUGAUCUCUACUGGCUUCGGGCUUCCAGAAAGACUUGGUGGUUUGGCACCUAAGAAGUUCUUAUACAUACGUUCAUCCUUAUCAAUCGCUUUUUUCGGGUCGUUCCUCCUUGCCACUCGGGGUUCAGCUUGACUCACUGUACGACUGUAAUUUCCCUCCUCCGACAAUUCUUCAUUCAGUUCGGGUUGCACGAUAGGCACAAUAGGUUCAUCCCUAUUAUCAAGAAACAUUUUUCUCAUCUCCUCCCUUUGUUCGGCCAUCAUAGCCCAAAUCAUUGCUUAGACUCUUGCCAUCGUGAUUGGCUCGGGUGCAGCUACUACCUCUGGUGCACAUUUAAUCACUCGUGGUUCAGGCUGUUAGUUUUCAUUAGCAUUUUCUAAUAUGUUGCGAGUUCUCACCAUUUCGAUCUAUACACUCUAGAGAUGUUCAGUGUACAGUGACGAGAAUUAAGAUAUGGAAAGCUUUAUUUACGACAGCCAUAUAAAUCUUCUUAUCACUCGUAAAAGUUAUAUACUAGUUCUAAUACCGUAAUUAAAUGUUUGGAAAUUUUGAGCAAAUGACGGUUCAUCAACAAUAGAGCGAAUCUCAUUUAGGAAUUCGUUGAUAGGUCGAUUUCCUUUAGGAUUUUUAGCAAGUUUGGAUUUUAAAGAGAUGAUUCUUGAGCAGGAGGUGCUGGCAUAGCUUGUGUUGAGAUGCUUUCAUGCUUCUUUUGUGGUAAAUACAGAGGUAAUGAUAGGUUGAAUGAAUUGCAUCUGAGCAUGAACCAAGAAUUGCAUCGAAUACUACAUGAUCUUGGCGAUAGCAAGUCGUGUAUUCAUGAUUAGGUUUGGAUUUGUCUUUGUCGAUAAUGAAUUUUGUGGUAGGAUCAGUCACCCAUGUGAUGUAAUCUUCCAGACCUAGUCCAAUAAAUGUGGACUGCACUUGUCGCCUCCAUACAUGGAAGUUGUUGGUGAGUAAUUUGGUAGGAAAGUGACUUGAGGCGGUGAUUUGUAUUUGGGAUGAUUGUGUCAUGGUGAUGUUGAUGAAAAGGAUUAGAGGAGAAAGGCAAGAUGAUCGAUUGACUCUUUAGAGUGUGUGUGCUCUGAUACGAUAUGAGAUUUGAGAAUCAAUGGGCUCGAAUGAAUAAUUUCAUUUACAAAGAUCGAUACAUAUAUAGAUGGUAACGAGAGUUAAAGAGCUAUACAUGGAAUUUACUAAGAAUAGAUUGCAAUUACAUACAAAUAGAAGAGAUUAUUGUAGAUUAGUCAUGAAGAUGUGUACGAUGUUAUAGUUAGAUUGCUUAUUUGCAAUCCAUGUUAGCUAAGUAUGUCAUGUUGAAUACAAAUUGUAUUAAAACAUUAAAGUUCCAACCAUUAUAUGUUGAAGAAGAAGCAAAUACGCCUUAGUCACACCCAUUCUAAAUGAUAUGGAUGUUAUGGUUGUCGUUUCUAUGCAACCAAAUCGUGAUUCCAAGUUGCAGUUGUCUUACCAAUAUAUCAUGUUAGGAAAAGAUGACAUAGCAUGAAAUAUUGUAUGUUACAACAAAAAGAUAUAUCUUAUAGAUGUCUUGCACAUGGGUUAUUCCUUUUUAAGCACUUAUAUAAAAAUAAUAUCACGUAUGUAUGAUAUCUAUUUUGAGAGAUUUUUAGCAAGCAACUCUUUGUCUAUUAUUGUUAUUGGAUAGAAAAAGUAUCAUCUUCGUUGGGAAGAUUUUACUAGGAUUAGAUUCAUAAUAGUUUGUCAAAGAUUUUACUAUUAUGUAUUUAUAAACCCAUGAAGUUUUCUAUUAAAUAAAUAAAUAAAUAACCAUUCACCAUUUAUAUCUUUUUGGAAUAGAGUUUGUUAAAUUCUAAUAUAAAUAAAAAGAGUAUUUAUUUAGAUUCACACAUUACAAAAUUACAAACUCCAAGCAUAAAUCCGAAACUUAUUUUUAAACUUCUUCAUUUAUAUUACAAGUUUUAUUCUUUUUUCCCAACCCACUUGGGGUUUCGAAACCCUAAAAAAGUUCUAUCCAUGGAAGUUCAUAUUUAUUUCUUAUCUUAAUGAAUUUAAGGUCUAAAUCAAUAAAUGGCAAUGUAGAAUUAACCGCAUAUAUUAAGUUAUUUUUGGAAGCUUUCCAACACAACACAGAAAGGAAAUGAUGAGAAUUUAUGGUACCAAAUAACAAAAUAAUCCCGGUUCCUAUAAAAAUUUAUUAAAGCUCUACUCAUGAUUUCAUAAUCUCCUCUAAUAUGAGGGUUACGUUAUUGUAAUAAUAACUAUGAUAAUGUAAAAGCCAUAACAUAAAUCGUCUUAAUUUAAGAAAUAAUAUAAAUCCCAAGAUAUUGUUUUUAAAAUAAAAAGGAAAAAAGUGGGAGUCCAUUAGAAGGAGCCAAGCUGAUUAUUUGAGCCAAGAGAGCACCGAUUUGUUAUCCUUCCACUGUUCGAAGCGAGAGGUUAUCGCAGCUCUGUGAAGCCAGCCUAACGCAUUGCCCUCUGCUCUAGGAACCAAGAAGCCCAAGCCUUCGCUCAAGCCACUUGAUCCAACUCCGAACUUGGAACGGGCAAACCAGAUUUUGCAACAGCUUUGACCCAACCAAACAAGGCUCGAUCUCAGUCCAUCCCACUUUAGAGCCCUCACUUGAGUCACAAGCUCGCGUUACCAAGCUCGGCGAUAAACGAAGUCCAUUUGAUGUAUAAAUAAUCGGAAAAACUUUCUCCUCCAAGCGAUGUGGGAUGCGAAACGAAAUAUUUUCAUCUUCAUUCUCUCUUUAUCUCUGUCAAAUACUGUGAUUACUGAUUACUGACUACUUAAACACCCAUGCAACGGAUUUCAAGUAUUUUUUUCAAUCCAUGGAUUUAGAACUGUAAACU